UAGAUUGGAAGGCAUGAAAGGAGAAGAUGAAACAGGAAUGGCAGCACGAGGAGGAGAAGGAGGGCGUGCUGGAAGGACAGUAGAAGGAUUGGAAUAGAUGAGGUUUUCAAUUUCAUCAAUGUCAGAUUGAGAUGAGGAGUGAAGAGGUAUAGUGUCUCCAUGUGACAUUUUUUCCGGUAGCUCUCAGAUUUGCAGAGAUGAUCGGAGAUGGAGGACAAGGCGGGGUUGAGUGGGGGGUGGGUGAGUGGGUGGGGUAACUGGUGCUAGAGGAAAUGCGUAUUGUAAAAGAAGAGUGUGUUAUGCACUAUGCUUAAUCGUUUGUACUAUGGAUUUGGGGUAAUAAAAUAGCUCUCUUAACAUCCAAUAAAGAGUUCAAUACUACAAGUUCUUUCAAAUUUCUAUUUCACUUAAUAAUUAUCAUAUUAUUAUUUCUAUAACUAUUACUAUUAUAUAGUAUAUUUAUAAUUAAUAUAUUAUGAAUCAUAUAAGACUAUUAACUAAAUCCUUGAUAUCGAUAAAAAAAAAUUAGGAAGUUUUACAAGAAUUGUAGCUACCGUGUAAGUUAUUUCGUUUGUAUAAUUCGGAGGUUUAUAUAAUUUUUGGAUACAUUUAUAUAAUUCUUUUUUUUGUAGAAGUUUGAAAUAACAAAUUACAAUUAUAAACAUUAGAAGUGUAAACAUUAUACGAAUUUUGAAUUAUACAAAAGUUAUACAAAUUAUAUUAUACAAAUUUUGAAUAAUACCAACGUGAGAAUUAUACAAUAUUAAAAAGCGGAGCCGCAUAAUUAUAGCUAAAAGUAGAUCGCGGAUUGUAAUUAAGGCAAACUAUAACUAUGUUAACUAAUUAACUAGUAUAUAUAUACUUAUACACCUAUUUUUUCCAACUUUUUUAUGUGAUACAAAAUCUUAAAGAAUAUUCUAUUUAAUAUAUACUUUUUUUUUGAGAAUUAAGUAUUUAAUAUAUAUUAUUUUCACCCCGAAUUAAUAAUACUUCAUAUUUCUUUUUCUUUUAAUUUUUACCAUUUUUUGUGAUAUAAUUUUUAAUUGUUAUUAUUAUUAUUCACUAAGUAUGAAUGCAAAAAAUUUAAAUGAUAUAUAACAUUUAUUUUCAAGUAUUGUUAAUAGUAGUGUACCUCCAUUAAUCUCUCUAACUUCACUUCCACAAUCUUAUCAAUUAAUUUCUCUUAAUAAUUUGAAAUUUAAUCAAAUCAAUUAUAACUUUCUGAAUAGGUAAUUUUCGUCUUUCUUGAUUUUUGUUGUUCAUCCUUGAUUUUUGUUUUGUUUUUUUGUUAAUGUUAAUUCAAGUCUCAGUGGGCACAUGUUGUUAAACAUAUGAAAACAUUAUUUGUAGAAUAUGCUUACCAUACUUGACUGUAGCCUUGUGAGAAUGAAACCCAGAAGAGAUCAAAAUACAUUGGGAAAAUAAGGAUCUUGGGAAUUUGAUAGCCUUUGUUGAAAAGAUAGAUAUUGACUUUGUUGGACAAAGCAAGAUCGAAGAAGGAUGCAUCUUCACGCCUAUCUAUAUCAAAGUUAUUGAUGUAUAUUGUUUGUUUUGUUUUUUAAACUAGUCUUUGUUAGUGGUAUGAAAUUUCGGAUACAUUAAUGCUAUAAAAAAUUUAUGUUUUGUGUAAUGCAUCAGGUAUAUAUUUAUCAUAUUGAUACAUAAUUCUAAUAUUGUUGAAUAUUCGACUAGUGAGUUCAAUGUGCAAUACUUAUAUACUUGAUACAUAAAUAAUGCUUAAUGUAUAUCUAACAACAAACCAACACAUGUCGGCUUAAUUUUGUAAUCAUCUUAUAACAUGUAUUGCGUACAUUAGAGUUGUCAAUGAUACAACCAUUCACAAAAUUCCAAUAUUAAUAUAUAUAUUAAUGUAUCAUUCAUACUUGUCUUGAUCAAGACAACUAAUUUACAUAUAUUAAUUGUUACACUAUUUAUAUGUAUAGUAUACACAAUAAUUAUCUGAUAUGAACGUAUUUGAUCUGUUCAAUUGGUAAUUCAUUUAUUACAUUUGUCAUAUACAAUAUAUUAUAAUGAUAUAUUUUUAUACAAGUCAUAUCCGAGUACAAAACAAUGAUCACAUCAUAAUCUGUAGAUACAAAACUACAAUACACGCGGGUCAUUAACCACUAAUGUAUCAUGACGUACAUAUUCACAUCAAACGACAAAAUAAUACUAUAACAAUGAUAUAUUAAAAAAACUAUAUACCAAUGGUAGAGAGGGCAGAGGGAAUAGUGGAGGAGGUGAUUGAACGAAAGGAAAUGAAUAAGGAGUUAAUAGAAAACAUAACUUCUUCGUUGGAUAAGAGACCAAUGAAAUAAUGACACAAACAUCAUAUGGAAAAUCAAUGUUUCUUCUUAUAUAUCCAUAUCCCUCUUCUCUCUAUGAUGAAGCCCGUGAGUUCUUGAUUAGUAUCCAUUAGUUAUCAUCUCUUUCGGAAUCAUAUCGUACUAUUAGUACUCCAUGGCUCAAGUCAUUUGGACUACUAGAGCAACUUCCAUCGUAGAUUCUCUGCAUAUUUUCAUAAAAGCAAAAGACAAAGUGCACGUCAUUUUUAGAUUCUUGAGAGAAGUUGAGUCAAAAUUCGACUUUAUUCCUUUUCGAGUCAACCAAAUCAACGGGAAGCUGCUUGUGGGGAAUGAGGAGCUGAAUUAUAGUCGUGAAGGCAUAAAAAGUGAUUGUAUACAUCAGUAAACAAAUGAUAUAUAGGAAAAUAAUGUGAUAUACACUAAUUGUAUAUAAUUUUACAUAGAAAAAAUGCAGAAAAACAACUCAAAAACGCAAAUACUAGUCAGGUGCUUAAAUACAUGUAGAGGACAAGAAAAAUUGGUCUCAAAAAGUCCAAAAUGAGUAGUAUACAUUCAUUGUAUACAAUAAUAUUUUUAGGAGCAAAAUUGGACUAAAACCCAUCAGCAGACCCACUUUUAGAUUUAGGACAGGAGUUGGGUCAAAAGGUCAUAUGAUUUGAAAUUAGAAAAAUUACAUAAAUUAGUACAUCUUAGUAAAUAAUUAUUGAUUUUAGGGAUACUUUUUAUUUAUUACUAUUUAUAUCAACUUCUUUAAAAAAAAUUCUUUUCUCUGUAUCGCUCUUUCUUUCUUUUUAUCUAUAUCUCGCACCCUUUUUUUCCUUUCUCAUUUUCUCUCCUUUUCUGUUUCUCGCUCCCUGUUUUUUUCUUUCUCUCUCCCUUUCUUUCUUUCUUUCGUUCUUUCUUACUUUCUUUCUGUUGUCCUUUCUUUCUUUCUUUUUUGUUGUUGCUCUAUCUCCUCUUACUAUUGCUCUUUCUUUUCCCUUUUUUCGUAGUAUAGUCAAUGAUUCUAGACUCUAUAAAAACGUAUAUCAAUAUCUAAUUAGAGAAGUAAUAUAAUCGUAACAAAUGAAGAGGCAUAAAAAACUACAAAAUGAAUUAAAAAUGUAUUACAAACAUAUUAAAGUAGAAUUAUUAGAAGAGGAGUAGUAUAAUCGUAACAAAUGAAGAGGCAUAAGAAACUGCAAAAUGAAUUAAACUUGAAUUAAUAAUGCAUUACAAACAUAUUAAAGUCGAUAUUAUUAAAAGAGAAUUAAAUAUGAAUGCGGAAUGUAGAAAAAAAAAAAAACACUCUUUGAUAUGCAUGUAAAUUGAAUAAAACUUGUACUGAUAAUGAAUUAAACAAGGAACCAAUCAUAACAAAUCAAUCAAUUAUUUCAAAAUGCAUUAAACUUGUAUUUAAAAAUGUAUUACACAAAUAUUGAAGUCGAGGUAGAAGUGAAAAUUAAGCAUGAAUAAAAAAAAUGCAACAAAUGAAAUAUGAAAUAGUACUUGUAUCAAUAAUGAAUUAUACAAGUAGCCAAGAGGAACAAAUAAAUUUUAAAAACUGCAAAAUGAAUUAAAUUUGUAUUAAAAUUGUAUUACACUAUGUUAAAUUUGAAUAAGAAGAGAAAAUUAAAAAUGAAUGAAAAACGUAGCUAAUGAUUGACAAGACAAUGUUCUGUAGAGUGAAUUAAACAUGUAUCAAUAAUGAAUUAAACAAAUAUCCAAUAGUAACAAAUAAAUAAAAAAAUGUGAAUUGAAUUAAAUUUACAUUAAAAUUGUAUCACACAUUAUUUAAAGUUGAAUUAAAAGAGAGUAUUAAGAAUGAAUAAAAAUGUAACUAACGAAAGACAUGACAAUGAUAAAUAAACUGAUAAGUUAUAUCAUUAAUGAAUUAAACAAGUAUCCAAUAGUACCAAAUAAAAAAAAACUUCAAAAUGAAUUAAAUCUGCAUUAAAAUUGUAUCAUCUUAUUCAACUUUAUUAUAGUUGCAAAACAAUUAAGUAAAUGUAAUUUAAUUCAUUUCAAUCUAAUAUUUCUCCUAAAAUCAAUUAUAAACUUAACCAAACCCUCUUAAAAUUGAGACACGAACUUCAAACGACAUCUUCAAUUAUUUGUAGGAAUUACUUAUUCAAACUUAUCACAAAUUCGUAAAAUGCAAAUAAUGAAUUCAAAAUUUGAAGCUAUAAUGAUUAUCAAUGGUGAACUCUUACUUCUGCAAUUAAUUUUAAUGAUUUGAAAUUUCUGCUUUAAAAUUUAAUUUUAUACAAUUUUGCGGUCUUCUUUUUCCCCUCUUUUCAUCUUUUUUUUUGGAUAAAAAUAUUGACAUGGACAUAAUGAAAUAUGAAAAUUUGAUUUGUUAAUUAAAUAAAAAUUGAAAGAAGAAGAAAAAUCUUUUAAAAAAUGAAAAAAAAGAAAAGAAAAAAAUACGAAGACAGUAAUGAUAGAGUGAGAAAGAUAAGAAGAAGAUUUUUUUUAAAAAAAAUAGAUUAGGGUGCAAAAGGACCCGAGAAAAAAAGCGACGGUACACUAAUUUCAGAAAUUGUUAUAUUUAGUUAUAAAAUUUAUAUUGACAUAAAUAGUAAAUAUUUUAUUAAAUAUAACGUAUUUAUGUGAUUUACCAUUUCAAUUUGGGCAAAGGGCCCAAAUUUUAAUAUUUUUUAUUUUACUCUUGUUUAUUAUUUGUUUGUAUUAACUAACUAUUUUAUUUGAAAUUUGGUGUUAAACUAAAUAAUUUCCAAAAAAUAGUCAUUCCUUCUUUUAUGUUCAAAUUUAAACAUUUAUAUUUUUAUUUAUUACCUAGUUUUAUUUUACUUUAGAUCUUGUAACAUUGGGUUGAAUUACUUUAAAAUUUUCUUUAGUUUAUUCCCUGCCCUUUAAAAGUGAGUUUUCAUUACUGUUUUUUAAAAUUUUUAUUAUCAUUAUUAUUUUCAAAUUAGUCAAAAUUUCAUUUAGUCAAAUUGCCGGUCAACCGCAAGUUAGCGAGUAUUCCGAGGGCCUAACACCUUCUCGGAAUGUAUAUUUGAAUUUCGAACCAUUUUUCAAUUGAUUUUAUUUGCUUAAAUCUUUUGAAAAUAAUUAUAAGUUUUUUCUUGAUUUUUUACUAAAAAAUUAAGUGGCGACUCUGUUAAUUUGGAAAAUUGAUUUCUCUUAAAUCAUAAGAUUAAUUGAUUUUUCAAUUCUUCGGUGGAGGUAGGUUAUGGUUUUCAUGCUUUCAUAAGUAAACUCUUAAUAGUGAAUGAUAUGUAUUGGUAGUAUUGUAAACCCUACUAUAUGCUUAAUGGUAUGUUUGCAUGAAUAUGAUUAUGUGAUUGUGAUAAGAUAAGCAUGAUGAAAAUAUUGAAUCCCAAAUCUUGAAAAGAAACUUUAAUAUACAUUAUUAAUGAUGAUGCCUUGGUAUAGAAGAAGGCUUGAUGAAUUAAAGUAAUGGGAUUGAUGAUGCCUUGGAAUAGAGAAGGCUUGAUGAUUUACAGAAUGAUAUUAGUGGAUCGGAGUGUCACGUUCCGACACAUAGUAUUAGUGGAUCGGAGUGUCACGUUCCGACACAUAGUAUUAGUGGAUCGGAGUGUCACGUUCCGACACAUAGAAUUAGGGAUCGGGGAUGAGUGUCACGUACCGACACAUGUAGGGGAUCGGAGUGUCACGUUCCGACACAUGUAGGGGAUCGGAGUGUCACGUUCCGACACAUGUAGGGGAUCGGAGUGUCACGUUCCGACACAUGUAGGGGAUCGGAGUGUCACGUUCCGACACAUGUAGGGGAUCGGAGUGUCACGUUCCGACACAUGUAGGGAUCGGAGUGUCACGUUCCGACACAUAGAAUUAGGGGAUCGGAGUGUCACGUUCCGACACAUAGAAUUAGGGGAUCGGAGUGUCACGUACCGACAUAGUAGUAGGGGAUCGGAGUGUCACGUACCGACACAAGAGGAGAAAGAUAAUGAAUCUUGAAAGAUGAUAAUAUACUCAACUUAAUAUACUUAAUUCCCAAAUGAGUAUGGUGUUGAGGCUUGAGCCCUCAUGGAUGAACUUGAUGGUACUUAUUGAUGAUUAUAGUACUUGUUGUUGCUACAUGUUGAGUUUUAUAGUUGAUUUACGAUAAUAUUGAUAUAUACUGUUCCCUAUUUUGAGUUGGCCGAUGAUAUCUACUCAGUACCCGUGUUUGUACUGACCCCUACUUUUAUGUUUUUCUUCUUGUUAUUUGUGGAGUGCAGCAAACGUGCCGUCAUCUUCGACUCAACAGUAACUCAAGCCAGUCUUCGUCACACCGGAUCUUCAGGGUGAGCUAACGCUUCUAGCUUGGACUGGAUCUUCUCCUUCAUGUCUUGAUGCCUUGAACUUCCGGCAUGGACUAGCUUCUUAUGUAUUUUUAGCUUCUUAGAAACUCUUAGAAUUAGUAGUUUAAAGUAGAUGUUCUUGUGAUGAUGACUUCCAGGUUUUGGAAUAAUAGAUGUUGAAUAUUGAUAGUUAUUGAAUUGGUUUAUUUAAUGAGUUUAAGUCUUCCGCAUUACUUUCUGUUGUUAUUAUAUUGAAAUGUUAAGGUUUAGAUUGGUUGGUUCGCUCACAUAGGAGGGUAAGUGUGGGUGCCAGUCGCGGCCCGGAUUUGGGUCGUGACAAACUUGGUAUCAGAGCAUUAGGUUCGUUGGUCUCAUCACACAAGAACAGGUCUAGUAGAGUCUUAAGGAACGGUAGGGGGACGCCUUUACUUUUCUUGAGAGGCUAUAAGACUUUAGGAAAAUUUCACUCUUUCAUUCUUUCUUUCGUGCUACUACUUGAGUCCAAUUGGUAUCUAGGCGAUACGAAUUGGUAUCUGACCAUCUUCACUCUCUUUCGCAGAUGGUUAGAACUAGAGCAACGACUACGCCAACACCAACACCGGCCAGACAAGAAACAACUGAGCCAGCCACUGGGGCUGUGGCUCGAGGAAGAACAGCGGCAAGGGGCCGUGGUAGAGGUCGUGGAGGACGUCCUCUAGAGGAAGAGGACGAGCACCUAGCCCAUCUGGUACUAGGGCGGUGACUCCUCCACCGACUGAGGAAGUGAUAAGAGAGGGGGAGGAUGGGGUGAAUGAACAAGUGCAAAAUGAGGAAAUGCCACCCCAACCUACCCCAGAGAUGAUCAAUCAGGUUCUGGCUUAUCUUAGCGGGUUAUCUGAUCAGGGCCAGACACCCCAGUGUUUUCUGCACCAGCACCUCAGGCUCCGGAGGUACAACAUGCGGCUACUAUGGCUCCCCGCAUGGAUGUUCCAUUGGAAAUAGGCACGUUUCCACGUCUGACUACUGGGCCUAUAAUGACAAGUGAUCAGCAUGAACUUUUCAGUAAGUUCUUGAAAUUGAAACCUCCAGUCUUCAAGGGUGCUGAAUCGGAGGAUGCUUAUGAUUUUCUGGUUGACUGUCACGAGCUACUACACAAGAUGGGUAUAGUAGAACGGUUUGGUGUGGAGUUUGUGACUUAUCAGUUUCAAGGGAACGCCAAAAUGUGGUGGCGGUCCCAUGUGAGUGUCAACCAACAGAGGCACCACCUAUGACUUGGGCCUCAUUCUCUAGCUUGUUUAUGGAGAAGUAUAUCCCCCGGACUUUGAGGGAUAGGAAAAGGGAUGAGUUCCUGAGCCUAGAGCAAGGUAGGAUGUCGGUUAAUGCUUAUGAGGCUAAGUUCCGUGCACUAUCCAGAUAUGCCACUCAACUCUGUUUCAGUCCUCAAGAGCGGAUUCGCCGGUUUGUGAAGGGGUUGAGGUCAGAAUUGCGGAUUUCGGCCUUACAGAUAGCGGCAACGGCAAAAUCCUUCCAAGAAGUGGUAGACUUUGUGAUAGAAGUGGAAGGAGUGAAGCCAGACGACUUCACCACAACAUCGACAUCAAAAAGGUUUCGAAAGGGAGGUGAGUUUAAUGGUUCUUACACUAGAGGACAGGGUUCGGGAAGUUACUCAGUCCGACCAAUUCAGUCUUCACUACAGACUGUAGUUGGGGGACCACCUCAGACCGGUCAACACUUCUCCGAGGGGCCUAUGAUUGACUCCAGAGAAUGUUAUGGAUGUGGGGAGAUUGGACAUAUUAGGAAAAAUUGUCCCAGACAAAGUUAUAGACCCCCAAUAGCUAGAGGUAGAGGUGGUCAUGGUAGAGGCCGUUAUUCUGGAGGACGUGGUGGUCGAGGUAAUGGUGGUCACCAAAACGGCAGAGGUAAUGGGCAAACUGGGGCCACUACAUCACAACAUGGUAGGGGCAACGGACAGACGAACGAUAGGGCCCAUUGUUACGCUUUCCCUGGGCGGUCUGAAGCGGAGGCAUCUGAUGCUGUCAUCACAGGUAAUCUUCUGGUUUGUGAUUGCAUGGCUUCUGUAUUGUUUGAUCCUGGAUCCACAUUUUCUUAUGUAUCUUCCUCAUUUGCUAAUGGUCUAAAUUUACAUUGUGAAUUUCUUGAUAUGCCUAUUCGUGUUUCUACUCCGGUGGGUGAGUCUGUGGUAGUUGAAAAGGUAUAUAGGUCUUGUUUGGUAAACUUUGUGGGGAGCAACACUUAUGUAGAUUUGGUUAUCUUAGAAAUGGAUGAUUUUGAUGUGAUUCUGGGUAUGACUUGGCUUUCUCCGCAAUUUGCAAUCUUGGAUUGUAAUGCUAAAACGGUGACGUUAGCCAAGCCUGGGACAGACCCGUUAGUGUGGGAGGGUGACUACACUUCCAAUCCGGUCCGCAUCAUCUCCUUUCUUCGUGCUAAGAAAAUGAUUAGUAAAGGGUGUUUAGCUUUCUUGGCACAUCUCAAGGAUGACACUACCCAAGUACCUUCGAUUGAGUCGGUUUCAGUAGUCGUGAGUUUCUGGAUGUGUUCCCUGCAGAUCUUCCUGGUAUGCCACCGGAUAGGGAUAUUGACUUCUGUAUUGAUCUUGAACCGGGUACUCGCCCCAUUUCUAUACCCCUUAUAGAAUGGCUCCCGCGGAGUUAAGAGAGUUAAAGGCACAACUUCAAGAGUUAUUGAACAAAGGCUUCAUUAGACCAAGUGCAUCUCCUUGGGGUGCUCCGGUUUUGUUUGUAAAGAAGAAGGAUGGGAGUUUUCGAAUGUGUAUAGACUACAGACAACUAAACAAGGUAACCAUAAAGAACAAGUAUCCUCUUCCUCGCAUUGAUGACUUGUUCGAUCAGUUACAAGGUGCUUGUGUCUUCUCUAAGAUUGACUUGAGAUCCGGUUAUCAUCAUUGAAAAUACGGGCAACGGAUGUGCCAAAGACUGCUUUUCGAACGAGGUAUGGGCAUUACGAAUUUGUAGUGAUGUCUUUUGGUCUUACGAAUGCCCCUGCUGCGUUCAUGAGCUUGAUGAACGGGAUUUUUAAGCCAUAUUUGGACCUCUUCGUGAUCGUAUUUAUUGAUGAUAUAUUGGUAUACUCAAAGAGCAAGAAGGAACAUGAAGAGCAUUUGAGAAUGGUAUUGGAAAUGUUGAGGGAGAAAAAGCUUUAUGCCAAGUUCUCUAAGUGUGAGUUUUGGCUAGAUGCAGUGUCCUUCUUGGGACACGUGGUUUCUAAGGAUGGAGUGAUGGUGGAUCCUUCUAAGAUUGAGACAGUGAAGAAUUGGGUAAGACCUACUAAUGUGUCAGAAAUAAGGAGCUUUGUUGGGUUAGCUAGCUACUACCGCCGAUUUGUCAAGGGAUUCUCUUCUAUUGCUUCCCAAUUGACGAACUUGACUAAGCAGAAUGUUCCAUUUGUAUGGUCGGACGAAUGUGAGGAAAGCUUUCAGAAGCUCAAGACUUUGUUGACUACCGCACCUAUCCUUACCUUGCCAGUAGAGGGUAAGAACUUCAUUGUUUAUUGUGAUGCAUCCUAUUCUGGUUUGGGUGCAGUACUAAUGCAAGAGAAGAGUGUGAUUGCUUAUGCUUCAAGGCAAUUAAAAGUGCAUGAACGUAACUAUCCAACUCAUGAUUUGGAAUUGGCUGCGGUAGUGUUUGCAUUAAAGCAAUGGAGACACUAUUUAUAUGGGGUUAAGUGUGAGAUCUAUACGGAUCAUCGUAGCCUUCAGUAUGUCUUUACUCAGAAAGAUUUGAACUUGAGACAGAGGAGAUGGAUGGAACUACUAAAGGACUACGAUAUCACUAUCUUGUAUCAUCCGGGGAAGGCGAAUGUUGUAGCGGAUGCUUUAAGUAGAAAGGCGGGAAGCAUGGGAAGUCUAGCUCACUUGCAAGCUUCUAGACGCCCAUUGGCUAGAGAGGUUCAGACUCUAGCUAAUGACUUGAUGAGAUUAGAAGUAAAUGAGAAGGGAGGAUUGUUGGCUUCUGUGGAGGCAAGAUCUUUCUUUCUUGACAAGAUUAAGGGAAGACAGUCUGAUGAUGAGAAACUGCGCAGAAUUCAAGAUAAGGUAUUGCGAGGAGAGGCUAAGGAAGCACAAAUCGAUGAGGAAGGUGUUUUGAGAAUCAAGGGAAGGGUAUGUGUACCCCGCGUCGAUGAUUUGAUCAACACUAUUCUGACAGAGGCUCAUAGUUCAAGGUAUUCGAUACAUCCGGGUGCAACCAAGAUGUACCGUGACCUAAAGCAACACUUUGGUGGUGGAGUAGAAUGAAGCGUGACAUUGUGGAUUUUAUUGCCAAAUGUCCAAACUGUCAACAAGUAAAGUAUGAACACCAAAGGCCCGGAGGAACACUUCAGAGAAUGCCCAUUCCGGAAUGGAAGUGGGAAAGAAUUGCAAUGGAUUUUGUGGUUGGUCUUCCGAAGACAAUGGGUAAGUAUGACUCCAUUUGGGUGAUUGUUGAUAGGUUAACUAAAUCUGCUCAUUUCAUUCCGGUCAAGGUGACUUACAAUGCAGAAAAGUUAGCCAAACUUUACAUCUCGGAAGUGGUGCGAUUGCAUGGGGUUCCACUAUCCAUCAUAUCAGAUAGAGGUACGCAGUUUACUUCUAAGUUUUGGAAAACAUUGCAUGCGGAAUUGGGUACUAGGUUGGACCUUAGUACUGCGUUCCAUCCUCAGACCGAUGGUCAGUCUGAAAGCGAACGAUUCAAGUGUUGGAGGAUAUGCUUCGUGCGUGUGUGAUAGAGUUUGGUGGCCAUUGGGAUAGCUUCUUACCCUUAGCGGAGUUUUCAUACAAUAAUAGCUAUCACUCAAGCAUUGAUAUGGCUCCAUUUGAAGCAUUGUAUGGUAGGAGAUGUAGGUCUCCCAUUGGUUGGUUUGAUGCAUUCGAGGUUAGACCUUGGGGUACUGACCUUUUGAGGGAUUCGAUAGAGAAAGUGAAGUCUAUUCAAGAAAAGCUUCUAGCGGCGCAAAGUAGACAAAAAGAAUAUGCAGAUCAAAAGGUUAGAGACUUAGAGUUCAUGGAAGGUGAACAAGUCUUGUUGAAAGUUUCGCCCAUGAAAGGGGUGAUGCGGUUUGGAAAAAGGGGUAAACUAAGUCCAAGGUACAUUGGACCAUUUGAAGUACUUAAGCGAGUAGGAGAGGUGGCUUAUGAGUUAGCCUUGCCUCCAGGGCUGUCCGGAGUACAUCCGGUAUUCCAUGUGUCGAUGUUGAAAAGAUAUCAUGGGGAUGGAAAUUACAUUAUCCGUUGGGAUUCAGUCUUGCUUGAUGAGAACUUGUCUUAUGAGGAGGAGCCUGUUGUUAUCUUAGAUAGAGAAGUUCGCAAGUUGAGGUCAAGAGAGAUUGCAUCCAUCAAGGUGCAAUGGAAGAAUCGACCGGUUGAAGAAGCCACUUGGGAGAAGGAGGCAGAUAUGCAAGAAAGAUACCCACAUCUGUUUAAAGAUUUAGGUACUCCUUUUCGCCCCUGUUUUUCUUCUUGUGAUCGUUCGGGGACGAACGAUGGGUAAAUUGGUAUCUAUUGUAAAGACCUGUUUAGUCGUUUGAGCAGCAGAUUUUAAAUCUCGAAAAACAGGCUGAGGCGACGAACCCAACGACGGACCGUCAUGGGCACGACGGACCGUCGAAGGGUCUCGUUUCAAAACACUUAGAAAAUCUGAAAUUGGGUACUGAAAAUCGACUCUCUGAACUUCGUGACGGAAUGGCAGGACGGACCGUCACAGGCGUGACGGACCGUCAUAGAUUGUUCAAUGGAAAUUGACUCUCUGACCCUUGCGACGACCUGCAGGACAGACCGUCGCAGGCAUGACGGCCCGUCACAGGUUGCGCAAUCCCAGUCUGGGUCGGAUUUCUUGAUACGUUUUAAGGGACGUUUUUGACUAUUCUUGCCUUAAUUAUAAAGUUAGAGGGUUAAGGAUUAUAAGUCUAAUUAUUUGGGGGUUAAAAGAGUUAACCUUAAGUUAAUUAGUGGGGUAUUAUUGCCAUCUUUUAUUCUUAAUUAUAUACUAAUUAGGAUAAAAGAAAGAGGGUUUGAAUAAAGAAAAUAGAAAGAACAAGAGAAAGAGAGAGAAAGUUGAGAGGGAGAGAGAAUCGAACGAGAAGGGAAAACAAAGCUUUGGGAAAUUCUUGCUUGAUUCAAUUCUUCGGUGGAGGUAGGUUAUGGUUUUCAUGCUUCAUAAGUAAACUCUUAAUAGUGAAUGAUAUGUAUUGGUAGUAUUGUAACCCUACUAUAUGCUUAAUGGUAUGUUUGCAUGAAUAUGAUUAUGUGAUUGUGAUAAGAUAAGCAUGAUGAAAAUAUUGAAUCCCAAAUCUUAAAAAAAAACUUUAAUAUACAUUAUUAAUGAUGAUGCCUUGGUAUAGAAGAAGGCUUGAUGAAUUAAAGUAAUGGGAUUGAUGAUGCCUUGGAAUAGAGAAGGCUUGAUGAUUUACAGAAUGAUAUUAGUGGAUCGGAGUGUCACGUUCCGACACAUAGUAUUAGUGGAUCGGAGUGUCACGUUCCGACACAUAGUAUUAGUGGAUCAGAGUGUCACGUUCCGACACAUAGUAUUAGUGGAUCGGAGUGUCACGUUCCGACACAUAGAAUUAGGAGAUCGGAGUGUCACGUACCGACACAUGUAGGGGAUCGGAGUGUCACGUUCCGACACAUGUAGGGGAUCGGAGUGUCACGUUCCGACACAUGUAGGGGAUCGGAGUGUCACGUACCGACACAUGUAGGGGAUCGGAGUGUCACGUUCCGACACAUGUAGGGGAUCGGAGUGUCACGUUCCGACACAUAGAAUUAGGGGAUCGGAGUGUCACGUUCCGACACAUAGAAUUAGGGGAUCGUAGUGUCACGUACCGACACAUAGUAGUAGGGGAUCGGAGUGUCACGUACCGACACAGGAGGAGGAAAGAUAAUGAAUCUUGAAAGAUGAUAAUAUACUCAACUUAAUAUACUUAAUUCCCAAAUGAGUAUGGUGUUGAGGCUUGAGCCCUCAUGGAUGAACUUGAUGGUACUUAUUGAUGAUUAUAGUACUUGUUGUUGCUACAUGUUGAGUUUUAUAGUUGAUUUACGAUAAUAUUGAUAUAUAUUGUUCCCUAUUUUGAGUUGGCCGAUGAUAUCUACUCAGUACCCGUGUUUUGUACUGACCCCUACUUUUAUGUUUUUCUUCUUGUUAUUUGUGGAGUGCAGCAAACGUGCCGUCAUCUUCGACUCAACAGUAACUCAAGCCAGUCUUCGUCACACCGGAUCUUCAGGGUGAGCUAACGCUUCUAGCUUGGACUGGAUCUUCUCCUUCAUGUCUUGAUGCCUUGAACUUCCGGCAUGGACUAGCUUCUUAUGUAUUUUUAGCUUCUUAGAAACUCUUAGAAUUAGUAGUUUAAAGUAGAUGUUCUUGUGAUGAUGACUUCUAGGUUUUGGGAAUAAUAGAUGUUGAAUAUUGAUAAUUAUUGAAUUGGUUUUUAUGAAUGAGUUUAAGUCUUCCGCAUUACUUUCUGUUGUUAUUACAUUGAAAUGUUAAGGUUUAGAUUGGUUGGUUCGCUCACAUAGGAGGGUAAGUGUGGGUGCCAGUCGUGGCCCGGAUUUGGGUCGUGACAUAAAAUUUGCUAGUUUAUUAGCCUCUGUGAAAGUAUGUUUUAUCUAAAUAUGUGUGCGUUCCAUGAUGUUUCUAAUUUCCUUAAUUUUUUCAAGCACAUCCCAUUAUGUAACACAUAAAAAGAUUCUAAACUAUGAUCUAAAUCAUUUUGCAUAUGCAUAUAGGCCGGUAUCGACUGAUUUCUAAUUGUGUAAUAGGUAUUAAAAUCAAUUCCUAAGUGUAAAAAAUAUUUUGUAAAUGAAUUAAUGUCAUAAUAACCCGCUAGUACAAAAUUGAUUCGAAAGUUUCCUAAUUGGUUGAGUUUUGAUAUAAAAUUUUACUUGGAUCAACUUCAAAUGAGAAUAUCUCUUGGAAUAUUUAGAGUUAUGUGUCAAUUAUUCAUUAAAUUAAAAGUCUUUAUAUCUUCUUUCCAACUAUGCCGAUCUUUUGUCAAUAUGACUCCCAAUUCAAAAGUUAUGAUCAUUUCGAAUUUUAUCAAAUAGUCUAACUUUUACCGGCGUUUCACAUAUGUUGAACAAUUCUAAACCAGUAAAAUAUUGAUCUAACACCGAUGAAGGAAAAGUUAACAGAUUUUUUAUUUCUACGUACAUUUCACCUACUUUGGAAAAUCUUGCAUGGAACCAUAAAAAAAUUAUUUAAGUGAAAUUUAGUUCAAUUUUUUCCACUUUGGUCAUUCUUUCAUACCCUAGAAGUGGUUAGUUCUCUUUGUCUCAUCUCCUUCAUCAAUGCAAGUCCUUAUCUACCAAUUGCAAGCUUUCAAUUCAAAUUUCUUAAUCUAUUCGUGGAUCAUUGAUAGAAAUUUUAACCCUUGACCAUAGGGUUCUCAAAAAUUAAUGCAAGAAUUUCAAAACAAAGAUUUCUGACCAUUCUUUUUUAUUCCAGAUAUGUGAAAUUUCAUUAAUGGAUAUUCUUUCAUCUAUGAAGUCCUAAACAAAACUUUAAUUUUUCAUUAUAUGAAUUCUAAAAAAUCUAGGGUUCUUAUGAUCAACAUCGAUCUUAUGUAUUUCGCUUUCUUUUCAUGGACAGUUUAUAGAUAAAUAUCUUCCAUAAUUUUAGUAUAUUUAAAUAUAUUUAUAAAAAAGAUUCAGGACAAGUACAUUUCAUGCCUUUUGAUUUAUGUCUUUUAAAUUGCAUGUCUCUAUUAGAAUACAUAAAUUUUCAUGAUUUGUUUUACAUUCAGCUUUUCAGUUCCACAUGCAUACGAUGCUUUCAAAUAAAAUGUCUAUUACUUCAAUACCAACUUUAAGUAUUCAGAAAAUACAGUAAGAUACAUGACAUGCAUGACAUCUGAAUAUGCCAUUAAUAUUUUUUAACACUUUUCUCAAAAGUGAUUAGUUUUGUACACAAAAUAACGUCAAUAAUUGAGGAUCAACUUUCUAAUAAAAGUAAAAUUUACUAGUUGUAUGACACUCAAGUAAAACAUCCAUGAUUAUGAACAUCAUUCUCAGGAGUUAUCAAUUAUGUUCUAGUACUUAGCACCGAGUUGAACUAGGGUCAAUAUAUUCAAGUUUCAAUGCGUGUCACCUAGGCUUAUUUUGCCCCCAAUGGGGCCCAUGCUUUCAGUUUUAUAGUACCAGAUCAGAUCAACCUUUAUAUCCUGACAAGAUAUAUUGGACUUUCAAUGAAAAUUAUACAUUGAACUCUAUAUUUAUCUUACAUGAUUACAUGUCAUUUAAUAGUAUUUGUCACAACUCAGAGUAAAUCAUAGGUGUAACAUUGCAUAUAGAACUUCGAGAGGCCAUACACAAUCCACUUAGCAUACAUCAUACAAGAUAAUAGAAGUAAAGAGUUCAAAAGAUAGAAUUUCAUACAAAAGAAUUUGAUAAAAGUGGAAAUCUAAAUAUAAUUCUCAAAGCCAUCCAUAACAUCAUAAAGAAGUGAUAUUAGGUUUUAAAAGGCGUGACUGAAAAAUGAAGAGUUGCGAUUUUAAUGAAGAUUUGUAACUUUUAUGAAAAAUUGCGAAUUUUAUGAAAGGCUGUGACCUUUCUGAAUUAUUGUGGCCUUUCCAGAAUGACACAAUAAGAACCUUUUCAGACUAUUCUUUGUUUUCUAUAAAUUGAGGGAUUUCCUCUCAUUUUAGUUGAACGAUUUUUUUUGGACUUCUUCUACUGCUACUAAAUCUAGUAUUCUAAGUAUACUUUACUACCGUCAAGGGGUUCGUUGACACAGUGAUUCAGGUACCGAUACACUGUUGAGUAAGAUCAUUCUAUCCUGGAGGAUAUAUUCCAUUAACCUCAGAUAAUUGAGGGGAAUAAUUUCCUUAAGGGGAUACUGUGCAUCCAGUGGGAUUGAUCUUCUUUCUUUGAGAAAAAUAUUUGUAUACUGUUUCUAAUCUGUUUUUUAUUCUAUUUUCUCUAAUAGUUUUAAUAUUUUAGUUUGAAAAUAUUGUUUAAACUUUAUUGGUUCUUACCAAGUUCUUCAAAGUUUUGUUCUAAGUAUCUUAGGAAUACAAUAUGAACAACAAUCUUAAGGAAGUUUCUAUAUUGUUGGUAUUUUUAUAUUCUACUGAUUGAGAGAAACGGAUCAUGGAAGUAGAAGAUUAAUGCAUUACUUCUCCAGAAUUUGGUGCUUUAUUUAACAAAGUCGAAGUGAGAAUGUAUAGAAAAAUUGGUGGUAUUCCACUAAAAGAUUACACGAGGUUAUCUUCUUAUUAUUUAUAUAAGGAGGAAAAUAGUUUCUAAAAGUUAACAAUUUUGAUAUUUAUCAUGUAUGUCUUUGGAAAAAGAUAUGCAAACCAUAUGGUUUUUUGAAUGAAUUUUCCUUGGCACAAAGUGUUGCCUUUGAAAUUCUUUAGUUUGCAAAAUGAGAGAUGCACAUAUUUAUUUGAUAAAAUAGUUUUUCAAAAUGUUAUAGUUGGAAGGAUAUUUUAAAAGAAAAGCAUAUCUAUGUGAUAAUCAAUGAAUAUGUUCAAUUUUGUUUGGAGAUUGAAAAGAACUUCUGUAAUUGUGUACUUCAUGUGGAAUUUGAUUGUGUUUGAUUUUUGUAGACUAAAAAUUUAUAGUUUUCUACUAUAGACUAUGCAAUUGGAUUGAAGAAUAUGAAAACUUCACAUAAUAAGUCAAUGUUGUACAAUUGAUUUUCUAUAAACUUCGCUGUUAUAUAGAAAAAAAUUGUACAAAAAAAUUUGUCUUUAUUAUUAGUAUUUUAGAUAUUAAGUAGUAUGCUAUUUGUGAUAAAUGAAAAAUAUCAGUGACUUAGAGUUUGUAAUUUUGUGCCUCGAUGGGAUGAACUUUGACACUGUGUAAAAAUUGUCAAAUAAAAUUGAAGAACUAUAAUUCUUUUGUAGAAUAAUAUUUUCAAAAGUAGUUUCAUGUUUCCAAGGACACCUUGAUAGCAUGAGAAAAAAAUAUGUGAAAACAUUAUUAUUAAAUAUUUAAAAAAUAUUUUUGAGAUCAUAUUUAAACUGUGAGGGGUUUUUUACUCAUGACAAGAUAAAAAUAGACUUAGUAUCUAAUUUAAAUUUGAAGCACAAGAUAUGAAAUUCGAUGAUACUUUUUUAUUAUGUUAGACCCACAAAAUCUUGGAGUAUAUUUGAUAUUGUGGUCAUUGAGUCCUUCACUACUAGAUAUGGUAUGAGUAGUACGAAACGACCAAAUUAUUUAUAUACUUGUUCAAAAUGAUUGAGUUCUUUCAAGAAAAAGUUUGCUUAAAAUGUUGUGAUCUUUUCAUAAAAAGAUAUUUCUAUUAUAUAUAACUAUUUGUAAAGACAUGAAUAUUGGUGAAAAGUCAUUUUUCAUGUUUUGUAAAAGAAGCAUUUGAACUAUAUUGCCUUUAUUGGACCUGAUGAAACUUUGUUCAUGGGUAUUUCUAUAACAAUUGAAUUUGAAAUUUAUGGAAAGGUCCUUUCGAAAAGGACAUUUGACAAGUUGAUGACUUUAAACAGUGUUUGUAUCACACAAAAUUGUAGAAACAGGAACAAAAUAUUUGUGAGAAAAAACUAUCUCGCGAAGAAUCUUUCGAACUCAAUAUUUUUAUUUGUUCUUACUUGCUUGAGUCAAACUGUUUGUGACAUGAACACAUGGGCAUGUCAAUUACAAAGUCUUGUAAGGAAAACUGAUCAACUUAGAAGUUUCGUCUAACUUCGAGUGCAAUAAAUAAAAAUGUCAAGUUUGUGUGAAAUAAGUAUGUGGAGUAUUCUUAUAAAUCUGUUGAAAGGAAUUCUAAUCCCUUAGAGUUGAUUUACACUGACAUUUGUGAUAUGAAGUCAACACCAUUUCAUGAUGGGAAAAUGUAUCUCAUAACUUUCAUUGACAAUUGCAUUAGAAACGACUGUGUCUAUUUGUUGAGUGGUAAGAAUGAAGUAAUAGAAUUGUAUAGACAAUAGAAUAUUGAAGUUGAGAAUUAGUUAGAAAAAAGAUAAGAAGUGAUAGGGAUGGGGAAUAUAAAUCUCCUCUUGUCGAAAUAUAUUUGGAAAUUGGAUUUAUCCAUCAAACUACUGUCAUAUUCACCUCAAUCUAAUGGAACUGCAGAAUGAAUAAAAUCAAACUUUGGAGGAAAUGAUGACUACAUUACUUAUAAUUUCAGUUUUACCAAAAACUUAUGUGGAGAAGCUAUCCUUACAGCAAAAGGCAACAACAAAAAGUUGUCUUUUCAGAAAGAAAGCAAUAAAAGUUUUGUUUGUUCAUGACACAAUCUAUUUCAUAUGAAAAAUGAAAAGGAAGGAAAUAAACUUGAAAUAUUUUAAAAUGUGGGGGGGGGGAGGUGUAUCCAAAGUUUAAGUUCAUAUUCCUAAAAGGAUUAAAAUAGGACCUAUAAAUUUGGACUGUAAAAUUAAACUUGAGCAGUCUAGUGAAGGGUCUAAAAGACCUUGAAAAGAAAAAAAAUGAGAAUGUACUUAAUAACGACAUUUAGAGGCGUAGUAAAUGUUAACGGACAUCUACUUUUUUCGAAUAUGAUUUUGUAAUAUUUCUUGUGUCUUCUGUAGACUCAUCCUAUGGGAAAGAUGGUGUCAAAAGUGAGGUUGAUUCAAUCUUGAGCAACCUUAAUGAAAGUUAUUGAUUUUUUUUCAAGAAAUAAAUCUUUGGGUUCAAAGUGAAUCUUCAGAAAGAAAAAUGAAACUCAAUGGAACUAUUGACAAAUACAAAGCAAGAUUUCUGGUUAAAGGUUGUAGACAAAAAUAAAAUUUUUAUUUGAUCAACACAUACUCCCUAGUAACUAGAAUUACAUUCAUUCGAAUGCUAAUUGCAUUAGUUGCGGUAUAUGACCUCCAAAUUCAUCAAAUGAAUGUGAAAACAAUUUUCAUAAAUAGAGAAUCGGAGAAAGAAAUUUACAUGGAAUAACCCGAGAGUUUUAUGGUACCAGAUAAAGAAAAUAAAGUGUGUGAACUUUUUAAGUCACUUUACGGAGUAAAACAACCACCUAAAGAAUGACAUAAGAAAUUUGACCAAACUAUGUUGGUAAAUGGAUUUAAGAAUGAUGGAAGUGAUCAAUGUGUUUACAUUAAAAUCACAAGGUCACUGUUUGUUUGUAUAUUGGUGAUAUGUUGAUCAUCUAUAGAUACACUAAUGACAGAAAUGCUACUAAACAUAUGCUAGAAAGCAACGUUGAUAUGAAAGAUCGUGAAGUUCUUGAUGUGAUAUUAGGUAUAAGAAUCCUUAAAACUCCAAGAUGUUUAGCAUUGUCACGAUUUUAUUACAUUGAAAAGGUACUUGACUAGUUUAAAUAUUUGGAUUUUAAUAUUGUCAAGAGUACUCCAAUAAUAUGAGUUUUGUACUUCAACAUAAUGAAGGUGAAAGUGACUCUCAAUUUGAUUAUGCUAGAGUAUUGUGAAGUCUGAUUAUCAGAAAGUGUAUGCGAUCAAAUAUAUCAUGUAUUAUUAAUAAAAUAAGUUGGUUCACAAAUAAUCCCAAUAAAACUCAUUAGAUGACAUCAAAAAGAGUUCUGGGUGUAUUUAAAACAUACUCAAACUAUGUCUUGCAUUAUACAAAUAUCCUGUGAUAUUGAAGGAUAUAGUAAUGCAACUUGGAUCACCGGAAUCAAAUGAAGUAAAAUUCACGAGUGGAUAUGUAUUUAAUUUUGGUGGAGGAUAAGUUUCUUGGAAACUUUUCAAAAAUACAUGUACUGCUAGCUCUACAAUGAUCUCCAACUAAGUGCUCUAGAUAAGGUCCGUGAACAAGUUAAAAGACUUCGAAUUUUCUCGAUAGAUAUUAUUUUUGGUCCAAACCUUUGGCAUCAUUAAGCUUACACUUUGAUAUUUAAGAUGCAAUAGGUAGGGAAUGAAUCAUGAUGUAUAAAGAAAAGUCUUGUCAUAUAAGACAUAGACAUGAUACUGUUAGAAAAUUACUCUCUAAUGAAAUUAUCACAAUUGACUAUGUAAAGUCAAAGGAUAAUGUGUCAGAUCCACUUACCAAAAGGCCUGACUAGAGAGAAAAUUGAAAGAUCAUCUAAGGAAAUAUAUUUACGACUUAGUAAAAGUCAUCAUGGGGGUAACUCUAUCUAGAAGACUGGAGAUUCCAAGAUCUAGAUUCAAGGAGAAAAAUAAAAUUGCGACUGACGGAUAGACAUUGUCAACCAACUCAAUCCAUUCUCAUGAUAAAGACAAUGAUAUGAAACAAGAAUACAACAUUAAAUCUUAUUAAUGAGUUAAUAAAGCUUAAAGCUUUUAAUGAUUUGUUAAGUUUGGAAGAUUUUACCAAAUAGUGUAUUUACACGAUAACACGUUUAGAAAUCACCUAUGUGAGUGUGAAAUGUAAGCCGCUUCAAAGAGGAUGAUUGUCAAAAGCUCAUCUCUCUAUAUAUACUCAUGAAACCAAGGGGUGUUCAUGGAUGAAACAUAUACAACCAUAAGAACCAUAAAUGGUAAAGGGUUAAUUGUGUGGCAUAUAAUGUCUAGGUAUACACCAAAACUCAACAGUUCAAAGAUAUCACAUCUAACGAUUGACCGAGUAUAUCUGACAUAUACUCAGGAAACCUACUUAUCCAGUUGAAAUUAAAUUCUUUCUUGUAAAGUACACAUACUUGUCGAUUUCUUUGUCUUGGAGUCAUUCCCCAUUCAUGCGGGGGAUUGCUGAGUUUUAAAAGGUGUGAAUGAAAAAUGAAUAGUUGCGACUUUUAUGAAGAGUUGUGAAUUUUAUGACAAGUUGUGACUUUAAUGAAAAGUUGUGACUUUUAUGAAGGGUCGUGACCUUUCCAAAAGAUUGUGACUUUUUCAAAGAUUUGUGACCUUUUUUCGGUAAGGCACAAUAAAAACCUUUUCACACUACCCUUUGUUUUCUAUAAAUUGAGGGAUUUCCUCUCAUUUUAGUUGAACAAAUUUUCUUGGACUUCUUAUACUACUACUAUGUAUAGCAUUCUAAGUGUACUUUACUUUCAUAGAGUGGUUUGCUGGCACCAUGAUUUUAGGUAUCGAUACACUAGUGAGUAAGAUUAUUUUAUCUUGGGAGGAUAUAUUCCAUCAACAUUGGGUACUUGAGGGGAAUAAUUUCCUUAAGGGGACAAUGUGCAUUCAGUGGACUCAAUUUUCUUUCUUUGACAAAAAUAUUUUUAUAUUUUUUUCUAAUUUGAUUAUGAUUCUAUUUUCUCUACUAGUUAUUUUCUGGUUUGAAAAUACUCUUUAAACAUUGAUGUUUCUUACUAAGUUUUUCAAAAUUUUAACUCCAAGUAUCUUAGGAAUAAAAGAUAAAUAACAAGUGAUUAGUGUGUAACCAAUACAUCUCAUAAAAAGUUUGAAAAUGGAAAUGACAUAAAGCAAUUAAAGAAUUUUGUACCUCGGAUCAUAAAAACUCACCAAUAUUCAAAAUCUCAAAUGAACCAACUAGCCUGGUGAAUUGGAGCGUCGGCCCGUACAUUCACAUUAGUACAUGAAAUGUAUCAAGUAUGAUAGUUGUAACACGUCGCUAUUUGAAAAAACUAGAAUUUGAAAGAAACCACUUUUGGAAAUAAUCAAAUUUGAAAAGUUAAGCAAAAAAUGAGUUUUGUUCUAAUUAAAAUGACCAUAACUCCUAAACCAGGAUGAGUUAGGUGGGAUACAAGAUGUUGCAGGAAAUAUCUUUGAAUUAUCUUUCUAAUGCCACCAAGUUUGCUCAUUUUUGAAUUCGCAUGAGAGGGAUAUACCCAUUUGAAGUCGGUCUAUGUAGAUAAGAAAAGUCAAAAUCAGAUUUUAAAAGGGUACUUUAGUAUUUACACAAAUGAAAAUCUACGCUAGGGUUUAAGAGAGAAGAAGUCAAGAGGAGAAGAGAAGAGAAAAGUCAAGAUUUCAUCUAUUCUUGAGGAAUUAAUUGUGGAUUUCCAAGGAUUCAAUACUACGAGUUAUGUAAAUUCACAUAGCAUUGGGUUCAUUUACCCACGUGUCAAACAUGUUUAUUUCAGUGAAAUUUUCAUCCAAAAAGAUUGAGAAUUUGAUGUUCUUGAGUUCUGUUCUUGAAUUGCUUUCCUUCUUGAAUUUGGGAUGAGAUUAAGGAGCUCUUGAGAUUUUAGAGUUUAUUAUUAGAGUUGUUUUAAGUUAUAUUCUUGCGUAUAUAUUUUGAUUAUCUGAAUGUAAAGCAAAAUUGAGAAAAAAAAUUGAAUUUCAUCGAUUCGAAAUCAUAAAAAGAGUUGGAAAAUUUGUCACGUUUGACUGGGGAAAUCUGGCGCGAUGUGCCCCCGUAGUGCCAAGAUGGCUGGGGUAGCACACCAAUAGUGUGCCAGAAAUGUCAUUAUGAACUUUCGGGCUGGCGCAUGCGCACCAUCACUGCGUCACAGGCACCUGCCCCGACCCAUUUUUUUUCUUCGUUUAGCCCGUUUGAGUACUAAAGUGUACUAUCACAUUAUUUCAAUUCUAUCUACUCUAAAUGACUUCUAAACAUCUAAAAAUUAUCGAUAAACAUGAAUCAUAACCUUGAAUCCGUAUAUUUAAAUGCAAGGAAAGUUAAAAGUCAAGUCUAGAAAGUUCAUAGAGUCUUUUCAAGAAGUCCUUUGCAAAUGCUUUAAACUUUUUUUAAGACUUGAGAUUUGAUUUGAGAAAAGAGUAACAAAUCAAGUUCAGUUUCUUUAAAAGAUUAUAAGGGGAAUAUGUAUUCCGCAAGGGUAAAUGUUUUCACAUUUAAACAAGAAAGGAAACGCUAAUUUUCAGAGGAGCCUUUGAGCUAGUUUUCAAAAAAGAGUAUAUUCUUUUACAAUUAAGCAAGAGAGGAAACACUAACUUCCUCAAGAGAAUUUGGGCUAGUUUUUGUGUAAUUAUCUCAAACCACAUAGCUAUGUUUUUAAACAUAUGAGGUAGUUAUAUUAUGGGAGUAACAUCGAGCAUCGAUAUGGGGGAACUUGAGACAACUCUCAGCCCCCAUAAACCAUGUAGCCAUCAUGUGCAGAAAAUUGUUAUACUUUUUAGAUGAUUCCGUAGUGAUUUUCAGCAUAGACUAGUGGAUCCACUUAGUAGUAGUAUUUAUGCCCUUGGCAUGGUAUAUGAUGGCCUUGGCAGCGUGAGGCAAAACGUUGUAUCAUCACAUAACUCUUAAGUGAUGGUUGUCGAUUUGAGAAAAUCUCACAAAACUAUUUUGUAUUGUUAUAUACACAGAGUUAAUUUUAUUUUUACACAAACAAAAAGUGUUUAUAUUGUGUUUUUGCAUAAAAAUGGAGUUAGUAUCAUAUUUCUAAAUACAUAGAGUUGUUAUCCUUGUUUUAAAGCUUUUCUUUAUACUGUAUUUAUCAUACUACUUUAUUUGAAAUGAAUUUAGUUGAGUUGAGUUGAGACCAUGUUUGUUCUUUCAGUUUUCUUUUCAAGAGUAUGUCUUGUUUUUUAAUUCCCCUCGCAUGCUCAUAUAUUCAAUGUAUUGAUGCUAGUUGACCUGUAUAUUCUUAUUAUAUAAAUACAAGUAUCCAAAAUCAACAUCCAACGCAUUGUUGAUUCUAGUAGAGAUUUUGAGUUUUUGGUGAAACUUCUUGCUCCUAGAGGACCCCUUCUUAUUGCUUUAUCAUUUUAGUUCAUUAAGAUGUCGUGGGUCUUGUGCUGGAGUCUAGUUAGUUGAUGUUAGUUCUUGAGUCUUUCCGUUCCUGUUUCUAUGUUUUAGACUUGAGUGCCUUUUUGGCUAAUGAAUGUUUCUAUAUACAUUCUAAGUUAUCUAUUUAUAUUACAUUUUACUUUUUAAAGUAUUUUUAUCAUGAGUAAUCUAAGAUUAAAGUCGGGCCAAGGGUUCACUUGGGGCCAACAAUGGGAUCGAGUGACAAUUCCACUUAAGUGUAGGCUUGUGGCGUGUCAAACUUGGUAUCAAAGCAUAGAUUUCAAGAGUCCUAGAAAGUCUAUGAAAUUGUGUUUGUAUCUCCUUGUUAUCGAUAUUAAACGCGCCACAUCUAUAAUUAAGAGGCUGUGACACUUAAUAAUUAUCUCAUUUCUUUCAGAUUUAUUUCGUGCAAUAGAGUUUAUCUCUAAAAAGUUUCUUCUAAUUCGUGCUUACAAGUGUCUGUCAAAUCAUGCCUCCAUGAAGAGCUGUUAGAGGUCGUCCUACCAGAAGUAUCGUUGAACCACAUGAACAAGGGAUACCUAAUGCACCUGAAGUGCAACUCCAAGGAAAGGUCACCAAUGCUGAAUUUUGUUAAGCUAUCCGGAUGUUAAGUCAAGCUACAACCAAUCAAGUUGGGUAGAGAGAAAAUUAACAAAACGUUCUUGAUACUUCAAGAAUCUAUGAGUUCUUAAGGAUGAAUCCUCCAAGCUUCACUGAUUUAAGUGUCACCGAGGAUCCAAAAAACUUUGUUGAGGAGCUUUAGAAGAUUUUUAGGAUAUGCAUGUUGUUGAUGGUUAGAGGAUGGAAUUAGUUGCAUACCAAAUGAAGUGUGUCGCUAGAAUCUGUUUUGAUCAAUAAAAGAAGAAUCGAGUUGAGAGUGCACCCCUUGUGAGUUGGGCUUCUUGUAAAGAGGCCUUCUUGGGGUAAUUCUUUCCCUAAAAACUUAGAAAAGCAAAGGCAGAAGAGUUUAUCACUCCGAAGCGGGAUUUUUAGUGUCUGGAGUACAGUUUGAAGUUUCUCCAACUUUUCUGAUAUGCUCUGGAGAUGGUUGCAGACAUAAGAAAGUAUAAUGAAUUUGUUCAUUGUUGGGUUGUCUCAUCUGUCAAGUAAAGAAGGUAGGGCAGCUGCUGAUAUGAGAUAUAGACAUACCAAGACUGAUGAUCCAUGUAGAACAGGCUGAGAAAAAAAGGCUGAAAGAUGGGGAGGAGUUUUGAAACAAGAGAUCAAAGAUAGGGAAUGAGUCUAGGCAACAGACGAGUAAUGUCAUUGGUCGUCCUUCCAAUAGAAACAAAAGGGACCUGUUGCAUCAUCUGCUAGUGCACCUGCACCAAGAAACAAAUGUGAGUACAAUAGUCAAAAUUCACAAAAUUUUAGAGCUAGCCUUGCCCAUUCUCAAAGUAGUAUGGCACAAGGGGGUAGUAAGAGUUGCAUAUGAUAAGUGUGGUAGACGACACUCAAAGGUGUGUCGUGAUGGCUACACUAGUACAGGAUGACAUUGGCUGGCUUAAAAGAGUUAAAAAGGCAGUUGAAAGAUCUCCUAGAAAAAAGUUUUAUUCGACUAAGUGUCUCACCUUGGGGCGCUCCAAAAUUAUUUGUGAGGAAGAUGGAUGGUUGUCUUAGAAUGUGUAUAGAUGACCGUUAGUUGAAUAAAAUUACUAUAAUUAAUAAGUAUUCUCUUCCUAGAAUUGAUGAUCUCUUCUAUUAGGUAUCAGGGUGCCACUUGUUUUUUUUAAGAUAGACCUCAGAUCUGACUAUCAACAGUUAAGAGUGAGGGGAUUUGAUAUUCCAAAUACGACCUUCAGGACCCAUUAUGGUCAUUAUGAGUUUCUGGUCAUGUCAUUAGAUUUAACUAAUGCACCUGCAGCGUUCAUGAACCUUAUUAAUAGAGUAUUCAAGACUUAUUUAGAUAUAUUUGUUAUCGUAUUCAUUGAUGACAUAUUAAUCUAUUCAAGGAAUGAGGAAGAUCAGAGUUAAUAUCUUUAAAUAUCACUCAACUUUAGGAAUUGAUCUAGCAAAGUCAUUGAAGUUUGUUUUAUAUCAAAAAAACACUCAACUUAGACAUUUGUGUUCUAAAGUCAAUAAAUAAAAUUUAUCAUUAUUUUUUUGUUUCAUAUAAAAUAGACCCUACAAAUAAAUAAAAUUAAGAAAACUAAUUUAACUUUUUUAAGGGAAACUUACUUAGUGAAACAAAUACUCUUUAUCUUGAUAUACUAAUUACUAAAUAAAAAGAAAUAGUUAGGAGUUUUAUUUAUUGGUCCACUAGUGUAUCUGUGUUUGAGAAUUAGCACAACCAAAUUAUCGAUGAAAUUUGUAUUCACAAAUCUAAUUAGGACACCUUAGAGAAUAAGAGUACUAAAAUAAUAUUUAAAAUUUUGACCUCAUAUAUUAUAACUGCCAACUUUUGUUUAACGAUGCAAAAAUUAAACAACAGUACUCUAAUAAAAUUUGUCCUUUUUGUUUUGUAACCUUUUUUUCAAAACAAAAAUAUAAAACAAUAAUUUUUUAUAUUAUUGAACUUCUUUAUUAAAGCUUAAUAUUAUUUUGGCUUGGUUAAACUUGAUCUUCUUUUAGAACGUUAAUUUUUCAACUUAAUUUUUUGCUUUAACUAGUCAAUUUUGUGUAAAUGUUUUUUUUUUUUGAAAUAAUAAUAACAUUGUCAUAAUGCUUACAUAUUUUAAUAUUAUAAAAGUAUGCAUUUGAUUAAAUAAUUUUGUUCAUCAAAGUUUAUUAACAAUUUUUUUAAUUUCUUAUUCAUUUAUAGGGUUCAUAUUUAUAUGACAUGAAAAAUAAUUUUUUUGCUAUAUCAAAUGUUUUUUUAGUGAAAAAUUUAGUUAAAUGAUUUUAUUGAUAUAAAAGUUUAAGUUGAGUAAUUUUAUUAAUACAAAAUAAAGUUUAAUGACUUUUCUAGAUAAAUUUCCAAAGUUGAGUGACCUUUUGAGAAAUUAACUCAGAAGAUCAUGCUAAUCAUGUAAUGACCCUAAAUGUCCUUUUCAGAAAUUUUUAUAAAAUUACUAUUUUACCCCUUCCAAUAAUUGCCUCGAGUAAUUUUAUGACCAAUCGGUGAAGUUGAUUUCGGAAUUUUAAACUAAUAGAUAUAUAUAUAUAUAUAUAUAUAUAUAUAUAUAUAUAUAUAUAUAUAUAUAUAUAUAAUCUUAGGGAUUGUCAGUUUUUAAUAUUUAAUUAUUAAGAAAAGAAGAGGGAGGCAGAAUCUUUACAGAUGAAUUCUGAAGAAAGCUUCCAACUUUCGGCACGGAGAAGAAACUAAAUUCUUCAGGUAAAUAAUUUCAUUAUAAAAGCUCGUUUUUCGUAUUGGCAAUUGUUGAUUUUAUAUUGAUAAGUAUUUAUAUUGAUAAGUAUAUUAGUAUAAUAGUAUGAUAGAGUUUAAAAAUAAGAAUGGAAUUGUUGGAUUUUGAGUGAUGUUGACCGUAUUUUGAAACCUAAGGUGAUGAUAAGAAAUUGAGUGGACCAAUCAUUACCUUAGGCAAUGAUAAUGAUUAAAGGUGGUAAGAUGAUGGAUGUACAUAUUGAAUUAAGUUUUCUGUUAGGUUACUGUUGGAGUAUUAGUUAUGUUUUUGGGUUUAGAUUCUUAUGUCCAUCUGAUUCAAGUUUUGACAUAUUAAGAUACGUAACUAAAUAUUAAGGAUAUUACAUUAUAUGAUACUAUUAAAUAUAGGGAAAAUGCACAAGUACCCCCUCAACCUAUGUCCGAAAUUCUAGAGACACUGAACUUAUUUUAUAAGUAAUUUUCUACCCCUUUUUAGCCUACGUGGUACUAGUUUGAAAAAAAAAGUCAAUCAUCGUUGGACCCACAAGAUAGUGCCACGUAGGUCGAAAAAGGGUAAAAAAUUAUUAAUAAAAUAAGUUCAGGGGGUAAUAGGACCUUAGUAUAGUAUAAGUGUGUCUCUGAGAUUCCAGGUAUAGGUUGAGGGGGUACUUGGGCAUUAUCCCUUAAAUAUAUGAUAUUCGGAGGAAUUAAAAUUUAACCAUAAGCUUGAAUUAGGAAAAUAUGAGAGUUGACAUAUUAGUGGACAUCAAAAUUAGGAACUUGAUUAUAAAUUGAGUGGGUUUUUGUAUUUAGGCUAAACCUAUAGUAAAAUGAGUGUUGUUUGUUUUAAAAUCUUAUUGCGAUUAUGUACUUGAAUAGAUUGCAUUGAUUUCGAAUCUCAACGAAAAGGGAAGGCUCAAGUCCUGGAGCGAAUUGUUGAUUUAUUGAGUGGAUUUCUAAACCCUUGUAAGUGUAUGGAAUUCAUGUAUUUCCUUGUAAUAUGUGUUCGGGGGUAAUGAGACUUGGUGAUGGAUUAAUUUGUCCACAUUGAUUAAUUUUAAUGAUGAAACAGGGGUAACAAAAGGAAAUGUGAUUAAUUGUUUGUAUGUGAUCUGUUGAGAAUAGUUUGAAAGACUUGUUGAAUCAUUGAUGAUGUUAUAUCAUGAUUGUGUUAUUGUGAAUUGUGCAAUGAUGUGAAAAUGGUCAUUUCUCCAUUAUUUGUGUGAACAAGUCAUUUGUAUUGUUCUGAGACAUGGUUGUAACAAGUGUUAUGUGAAUUGAGAAAGAACAAGAAAUCAAAGAGGAUGUAUCAUUUUGAGUAACAUAUCGCGCGCCACGAUGGAUACUUAUAUUGAUGGACGUAUCGGGCACUGCGAUGACUAUUAUUAUCGAGGGUCAUCACAUUUUGUGAUGGAUGAAUGGACAUAUAUGUCUCCCAUGGGUCCCGGACUGAGAAACAAUAUGUGUCUAUCUACGUCAGACAUGCAUCACUAUACUUGACAUUGCAUUCCAUUGCAUUGCACAUAUUUAUCAUUAGUGAAUUUGAUAUUGUGUUUUAUUGAUCUUGUGAGUGCCUUUCUAUGGAACUUUGAUUGAUGAAUAUUGGGCUUGUUGCUGAUGAUAUGUAAUUGUUAGGGUGUUGUUGUUAAGAUGUGUGCUAUGUGAAUUAUGAACUGUUAGGUUUGACUGGUUUUCAGAAGGUUAUAAUUGUGGAGGUUGUAAUUGAUGAAUAUUGAGCUUGUUGUUGAGAAUAUGUGAUUGUUAGAAUAAUGUUGUUGAGAUAUGUGUUUGUAAAUUGUGAAUUGUUAGGUUGUGUUGGAUUUAUGUAGGUUGUAGGUGUGGAGGUUCAGUUGGGGUGUAAGGAAUACUUGUACUGUAUCUCCUUAGGUUGUGUUUAGAGAUAUAAUUGCUACAUACUGUGUGAUUUGGUACUCACUCCUUGCUACUACAUUUUUUGUUGGUUACUAGCCCGAACCUGUGUGACAUUAUCUCUUCUCCUUGUCUGAGACUUUAUGUGGAGGUUUGUGAGGUAGUUGUUUGUAAUUUCAGCAGACCUUCCUUCUCCUUAAUUAUGAUCUUGUUAUAUUCUAGAAAAAAUGUCAUUCAAAAAAUGUAUUUUCUUUCAACUUUGUUAUAACACAUUAGAGGUUUGUACAAGUGACAACCAGAUUUAUGAGGUACUUUUUAGGUGAUUAUACAAAAAAUUCAACAUUUUUUUAAUGUUUGAGUUUUAGGCUAACUUAUCUUGGUGAGAUAAGACGAGUGUCAUCACGUUCAUUCUUGGUCUCGUGACAAGUCAUCUCAGAAUAGUUCUCCAAAAUCUAAAGGAUAAAGAGUUGUAUGUCAAGUUCUUUAAGUGUGAGUUCUAACUUGAGCCUGGUCAUUCCUGGGCCACAUUAUUUCAAGUGAUGGGAUUAGAGUUGAUAAUAAAAAUAGAGGCAAUGUAGAAUUGUCCUAGACCCACAUCCCCAACUGAUAUUUAGGAGUGUCCUAUGCCUCUCAUUUGUUUGCUUUUUUCCCUUGUCACAUUGUUUAUCCGUCUAAUAUAAGAAAAAAACUAUUUCAUCUUUAAAAUAUCACAAUACUGAUUAUACUUGAAAAAAAUUUUCAGCCUCCUUACGUUUUUCUUUUUUUUCCUUUAACCGUCCAUCCUUGGAUGUGCUUUCAUCCAAGCCUUGGUUCAUCUGAAAAGAAGAAUUUUUAUAGAUAGAUUACAUAGCAAUAAGUGAGACAAUUGUAAUAUUAGAAGUGAGACAAUUACACAAAACUAAAGCACGACAUUGUUAAAUAUGUGAAAACUAAAAAAAGAUGAAUUUUACCUUUUGCUUCUACUUUUAACCUGUCUUAUAUUUGAAGUGAUUCUUCACUAUUUUGAUUAAACUGAUAAAAUUACGAAAAAGUCACAAUUACAAAAACAAUAACUAAAUUACAUCGAAAAUGAAAUGUUUACCUUAUGAAAACCUCUUGCAUUGUGUCCAGGAAUCCCACAACAUGAGCAUGUCAUUUUUCUCCCUCUUCAUGGUGCAACCCACUCAGUUUGUCUCUUAAGUGCUUCAUCUCUAUGUCUUUUCCUAUUCAUUCUAGGUCUGCCAGCUAAGUUAACCAAUUCUAGUGGUUCCAUUUCUUGUUCUACUUCAAUCUUCCAGAACUUUUGACCAGCCAUUGGUUGUAGCUUACAAUGGUAAGUCAAAAGAUAUGCCUCCUUAGAGUACCACCAGUGAAUCUCUACAAAUGGAUCAAGAUUCUUGUAAAGAAGAGCCCUGAUUGAACGGGGACAUGGUAUUCCAGUAAGAUCUCAUAUCCUACAGGUGCAUUUCUUAUCUGCCAAAUUGACAAUGUGUCCGUCAUUUUCUUCACUUACCUCAUAUCUCCAUUGAAAUUUAAUUCACACACAUUAACAAUCUUCAAGAAUUAAUUGUACAUUUUAAUAGUUGUAGGACUUCAAUCACAGUUCCAAGUCAUCAAUUCAUCUUCAUUUUCGACAACUUGAUCAUAACUUUGAUUCUUAUCCUCAAGCAUACCAAUUAUUAGCUUGUUUCUUGCUUCCAAUAUCCAAGAUUUGAAUGACUCAAUCAAAUUUUUUUCCACCAUAUUGUUCAUGCAAACAGUGUCAAAAAAUAGUAUACAUCAAGUUUGUAUUGGAAAAUCAACAAAUGGUCUUUUCCUUCUUCAGACAUUUGCUCUAAUGUCUUCAAAUGAUCAUCCAACUCCUCUUUGUAUAUGCUCCAUACACACCACCACAAUACCUUAGUCAUCAUAUUAGAUCUCUUACCUUUUUUUCUCUAGUUGGUCUCUAUGUACCUCACACAAAAUCUAUGCAUAGCAUUAGGUAAAAUAUUUUUAAUAACUUCAAUUAAUCCAUGUUUACCUGUCAUAAAAUACAUACAAGACAAAUGAAAAUACAUAAGAAAACAAAUAAAGAUAUAUAAGAUAAAGAUAUUGUAAUAAUGAAUAAAGUAGAAUAAAGAAGUGACAGUCAUGAGAAUUUACCUUUUACAUAUCAGACAUGAAUGUGAUUCCUUCUCCACUGUUGAUGUUUAGAGACUUCUGAAGUAGUUACAAAAACCACACCCAAGAUGUCUUGCACUCUCUGUCCAUAAUAGCCCAAGCAAUAGGCUAGAAAUGGUUCAUUGAGUCUUGACCAAUAGCAGAUAACAAUUGACCUUUAGUUUUACCCUUUAAAAUGUUCCGUCCAAGCAAAUUAAAGGUCUAAUCCAUUCUUAAAUUCAUUCUUCAAUGCGUCAAAACAAAUAUACAUCCUAAAAACUUUCUUUUUUCAUCUUCUACAGCAUUUCUUGAAACCUUAAGGAGAUUAGUCUCUUUUAAAGCAUUUGCAUAUCCAACAAGGUUCUUAUAAUCAUCACAAAAACGACCUUCCAUUUCCUCCAAAACCAGUCUUUUAGCUCUCUUACACUUUUCAAAAUGAGCAUUAAUGUUGAAAGUAAUUUUCGUAUCAACUCUCAUUUUCUUUAUCUUGUAUUUGAAAAUUAGCAUGCAAAUUCUCCUUAAAAUAAAAGGUCAUUGUAGUUGCACUAACCUUAUAGUUACCAUAUGGAUCCUUGCAUUUAUUAUGCUCUCCUUUCAAUGUUUUCAAUCUAACACUAGCAGCAUGCUUUUCACCAUAAAUUAGACAUAUAAAGUUGCAUUUAUCUUUGCAAACAACCCUAAGUCUUUUUCUGUCACUUUUUUUAAUGGUUAAAUUAUAGUCAUUUGUCAAUGAAUGCUAACUAAUAUAUCUUCUAGCUUCAGCUAUAUCCUUAAAUGUCAUUGACUUGUGUAAAUCCUAGUAACCACACAAGCUACCAUCAAUUACCCUCCCCCUUUCUUGUGCAAGAACCUCCAAUUUUUCCGAAUUAUAAUCGUUAUUAUCAUUGGAAGUAUUAAUAUCAUUUUCAGUACCAUCAGAAGUACAAUAAGUAGAUACAUUAUCAAUAACUACCUGUCUCUAACAUUUUGAUUAUAUUCUCAACAUCAAUAUCUAACUCACUAUCAUCUAUAAAAAUAAUAAAAUAAUUACAUCAAAUUCAUCAUUAAUAAAGGACAAUAAUAUCAUAAUCCCCUCAUCACCUUCAAUUUAAUAGAAUUUUCAGAAGGGACAAAUACUAUCAACUGUUACACACCUAUAUAUCUUAAUAUGUUAAUGUACUCAUUAGUAAUAUCUAUAUAAGAUAAGAGAUCAUAAUCAUAACCUUCUCAUUUGUGAAAAUAUUUCCUCUCAUAGAGCAAUUUAGGCUCUCUUAUUCAUUCCACAGCAUAGUGAAAUACUAGAUCAACCAAAACCAUUUUAGGCAACCUAAGACACACAAGAAACAACAUUAACAACUUCCAAAAGCAUGAACGAUACAAAAUAACUAAGAAGGGAAAAACAAAACACAAUCAAGGCACACAGAGACAACAUUAAAAACUUUCAAAAACAGUAAUAACAUUAACAAAACUCCUAAAAAGGCACGCAAAGACAACAACGGGCCACAUUCUAUAAGAAUAAACAUUGACAUACUAUAAAAAAAAAAGCUAAAAAAAUAACUAAUAAAUUUGGAGAAAAAAGGACCUCAUUCAAUCAAGAAUUUUCCAAUUAAAUAUUGUGACUAGAAAUCAGCUCAUACUCAAUAACAUCUCCAAAACCUAAACCACCACCUCCAAAUUCAUACAAUAUCCUAAAACCUAUCCACAAACCCUAAAUCGUAAAAAAUAAACAAACAAUGAACAAAUAGUGAACUUUUAGAUAUAAAAAGAUAAAUUAUGUAACAUCUCAUAACUAGAAGUGGCUAGGAAUAAGCCGAGAAACUAAAAAUAAUCACUUUUGCAAAGAAAGAGAAAAAUCUGAAAAUAUUUCUAAGUGUAAGAAGUGAGUUUUGGUCAUCUUCAAACGGUCAUAACUUCUAGCUCAUGAUGUGUUAGAGGUAGUUAUUGAUAUGGUUGGAAAUCCCUUGGAGAGAUAUUUCCAAAGCGUUGAGUUUGCGCAUUUUCGAUCGUAUGAGGGAGAUAUGGAUGUCGGAAGUUGGGCUGUUGAAGUGAGAGAAAUCCAAUUCCGGAUUUAAGGAAGGGUAAACUAGUCUUUUCACCACUUAUUUUCCAAAUUAAUUUUAAGGGUUUAUUAGGAGUAAAAAAGAAGACUUAAGUCAGUUUUGAAAAAUCAAAUUCACACUUAGGGCUUGAAGAAGAGAGAAAAGAAGAAGAUAAGGGAGAAAACUCAAGAAUUCGUCAAGAACAUCAAAAACUUCGAGUGAAUUUCGUCGGGGGUGAUCCCUAUUAAGGUAUGUGUUGUGCUAGACAGUCGUUUACAUGUUAACAAGUGAAGUUCUUGAAGAAAAAUAUUGAAUUCUCUUUGAUUGAAUUAUUGGAUGCCUGUUGUUGUUUGAUUCUAGUUUCUCCGAGUUUUUUUUGAUUGAAUUCAGUGGGUAUUGAGAGUACCAAUAGUCCCAAGUGUUUGGUGAAAUAAUUAAGGAUGUUUGAAGGGUUUAGAGUUGAAAAAAUUGUCAGACGCACAUAGGCAAGGCCAGGCCCGUCGCGCAUACUGUGCACCAGAAACUGGCCUCAGUCACAUGGGGCCUAGCGCGGCGCGUCACCAGUGCGCUAGAACCAAGACUCAAAUAAUAAAGGUUGGCAUGGUGCACCUCGAACACGCCCGAGUCGGCGUUUUUCGCCAAGUUCUCGUUGUUUAGCUUUAAGUCCUUCUAAGGUACAUUAACACCUUCCAAUGAUUCUAAUUACUUCAAAUGAUUUCUAAACACCUAGAAAUCAUUAAAGAACAUCAAUCAUAACCUUGAACCAUAAUCCAAUUCAAGGGAAGUUAAAGAUAAAAGUCAAAGAAGUUAAGAGUCAAGUGUAAAGUUAAGAAGUAAGUCAAAAAAAAGUUCUUAAAGAUUCUCAAGAGUCUUUAUUAAAUGUUUUAACUUCGUUUUAAGGCUCAAGUUCCAAGUUAAAGUAAAGAGUAAAAGUUGAAGUCUUUCUUUCAAGAAAUAUAAGGGAACUAAGUAUUCGCUAAGAGUUGAUUUAAGACUUAAGUUUGUAAGUUAAGCAAAGAGUUAAGAAAUUGAAUUCAUUUAUCAAAAGUUAUAAGGGAACUAGAUAUUCCCUCAAAAGUUUAUAAAUGAUUUCACAUUUAAGUUAAGAGAAAAUCAAGAUAUCCAAAAGAGUUUUGAACAAGAAAAAGGAACAUUGAUUCCAGGAGAGCUUUUUAAAUGUGAAGUAUUAAACAAAUUAUCUCAACCCAAGGAAAGAAAGUUGUUUUUAAAAGUAUGAGCUAAAGUAUAUUUUGGGAUUAGUAUUGAGCACCGAUGUGGGGAUGAGAUUCAUAAAACUCAACUCUCCAUGAAAAUCAUGUAGCUAUCAUGGGUAUUAACGAGUCAUACUUAUUAUAUGAUCACGUAAAUUAAACUAGUAGAUCCACUAAGUUAAGGAGUUCUAUGCAAUGACAAAGUAUAGGACAAUUCUGGCAGUGUGAGCAACUUUGUAUCACCACUUAGACUCAUAGUGGUGGUGUUCGGUUAGAGAAUCUCCCACAAAAACUAUAUUACUUUCAUAUAUAAGUAAAGUUGAGUUUGUUAUUACAUUUACUUUAACGAACUGGGUUGUUUACACUGUUUUACAAGCUUUAUAUAUAUUGCAUGUGUCUCUAUUUUUUAAUAGUAAGUACAAUAGUUCAUGAGUUGAGCAGAGCCAAGGUAAGUGUUUUUUCUUACUCUAUUCAAGCUUAAGUUUUGUUAGCAUUUCAACUUGCAUACUUGUACAUUCAAUGUACUGAUGUUAGUUGGCCUGCAUCGUAUCUUGAUGUAGACACAGGUAACCGAGAUCAACAUCAUCCAGCACCUUGUUGAUCCAACAGAGAACUCGAAGUCAGUGAUGAGUCUCCUUGCAUUCUGGAGGACACAUUUAUAUGUUUUUCAGUCUUUUCUUUAUUUAUAGGAUGUUGUCAGGUCUAUCUCAACAUCCAUCUGAGUAUGAUAGAGGCUUCAUAUAUAGAUAGACAGUCAAACAGUUUAUGUUUUUGGGUCUCUCUUCAAUUGCAUUCAGAUAUUGUAUGUGAGACUUAAUUUGGCCAGAUAUUUAUUUGAAGUUGUUUUUAUGAAAAAUAUAUCUUAUAUUUAGUUAAGUCUUCCGCUGAGUUAAGUAAGUCAGGACAAGGGUCUCCUCAAGGCUAGCAAUGACCAUUAGGUGCGGCCACGUCUAGGGUGUAGGCUCGAGGCGUGACAAAAUUCAUAACUCAAAAACCUUAACCUAAAACAUCAGCACUCGUAAAUCAACAACUAAAGUAACAAAUCGUUAAUUUUUAGAUGUAAAAAGUCAAACAAAUAACCCAAAGACAGAUUCCCGCACAGCCUAACUAACAGAUCAUUAUAUAUAUUGGUAAAAGGGCAAACAAAUGAGUUAGAAAGACAAAUACCCACAAACCCUAACUAACUUAUUGUAAUACAUAUCAGUAAAUAGGAAAACAAAUGAGCCAAAAAUUUGGAGACAAAUCCUAACUUGUAAUCAACAACUAAAUGUUAUAGAAAGACAAAUAAUCAAAUAUGAUUUGUUCGAUUUGAUACUUUGACAAUGUUAUAGAAAGACAAUAAUAAAAAAUCUUACCUUUCGUUGGCGAAAAAAUAAUUUGUUGAGCAAGCUCCCCUAGCAAAUUAGAGAAAAAGUUAAUGGGUAAAUUUGAGAGAAUGGGUAAAAUGGGCAUUGGGUUAAUUGGUAAAUGGAUUAUCCUAGAGGAGUUGGGUCAUUGGGUUAAAAAUAGGGAAUAAGAUUUUUUUAAAUCGGGUUAUUGGGUCAAUUUUGGUAGGUUUCUGGGAUUCCGUCUAAUGAGGCUAAUUUUGAUGAAAUUAGUAAUGGUAAGGGUAAAUUUAACCUCAUUUUAACGGUGAGGGUAAAAUCAAACAAUAAACCAAAGUUGGGAGUAUUUUUUACCCUUUUCCCAAAAAAAAAACUUCAAAUAAAUGGAGAUGGAUAAAUUAAAAGAGAAAUAAAAGUUAUUUUAAUGUAACAUUUUUUCUAAAAAAAUAAUAUGAAUGGGUUGAGGGGAGCUAGACUUCGUCAACAUGUUGUUUGUUGGCAUUAAUUUUAUCUUGAUAUAUUUCAAUGAUUUGAUAGAUUAUAUGCAUCAAUUUUCUUGUACUUUAGGCUCAAAUGAUUGAUUUAGAAUACUCAAUGACAAUAAAGCUAAGUAUCUUUUAAUAUGUUAUAUGAAUCAAUUUGUAUCUUACACUUUUUUAUGAUCCGAAAAAGAUAUUCUUUUACAAAUGUGAUAAAAUGAAGCAUUGUUAUUGGUGGAUAAUGAACCUUUUUGCAGCAUCCAUACAAAACGCUUUUGCUCCUUCACGAAUUUGUCACUCACCUUUCAUAAUUCUUUCUCCCAAUUUUACAAACUUCUCGACUAUUCUACUUUGUUCACUGUAAUAGUAUCCAUAAACCUCUAAUUUGCCGUUAUAUUACUUAUUCUACCAAAUAAAUUAUAGUGUCAAAAGUUUUGUAAAUUUUGUAGCAACACAAAACUUCAAAUGUUUUUUAAUUUCAUAAUAAUGUGCAUUUUUAGUAUUAAUAUAUGUAUCAAUAUUCACUGUAAGAAUUACUCCUAUCUUUUAUUUGUUAGUAUGAUUUUUUUUAAUACAUAGUUGAAUAAAAAAAAUAUCAAAAUAUGAUUUAAUCUUGUGAUAUUAAACAUGUUACAUGGUAAGUUAAAAAUUAAAAGUUGCAAAAAGGAAGAAGAAAGAGACGUUAUUCUUUUAAUGGAUUACAAGAAAAUAAAACAAAUAAAUUAAAACAGAGAGAAUAAAAAUUAUUAAACCCUAAAAGUAAAAUAUUAAGAUUUUUAAGAAGAAGAAAAGGGGAAAUCCAAAAAAAAAAAAUAAUAUAUUUUCUUAAACUUUUCGAUAUUAGUUUACAGGUGAAAGGGACAUCCCUUGUUUAAAAAGACAACGUCACUUCUCCAAACUCCAUCAUUAAUAAAUAGUUACAUAUGUUUGGAAAAUACAUUCCACACUAUUUAAUUAUUAUAAUAUUAAAAAUAAUAGUUUAAAAUAAUAUUCUCUUUUUUAUUCUUCAAAAAUGAAUUAAAAAGAUUUGAUACUAUUAUCAGUAAAGUGACAUUUUCUAGAAUGUAUUAAUAAUUUUAAAAUAUAAUAUAAAAUGAUAGAUCUAUAGUUUAAAGCUAAAGGACAAACUUGAAUUUCGAGCUUUAAAAAUGUAGCAAGAAAGCUAAUUAUUGAGGAAAGCAAUGUGAAAUACAAUUGAGAUAGUCGAUGUUCCAUUUUCAAGUAAAUGUAGAAUUUUGACAGAUUAUCUAAUUCUCCCUCCGUUCACUAUUAUUUAUCAUACUUUUUAUUUUUAGAGUUUAAUUACAAUAUAUUUUUUCAUCAUAUUGAUAUGCAAAAAAAUUGCAAUGUAUAGUUUGGUAUAGUUUUUAAAUAUCUAAAUUUUUUGUUUAAAAUAUCGAAUUAAUGUAAUCUAAUUUAACUUUAUAACUUAAUCAAAUUGACUUUAAAAAAGCGCAACAUGACAAAAAAAUAGAAGGAGAGAGCUAAUUACAAACAAUUUUAUUCCGUAUUUUUAUUACUCCCUCCGUUUCAAAAAGAAGACCUAGUUUUACUUGGAACGAAGUUUAAGAAAAGAAAUAAGACUUUUUAAACUUGUGAUUCUAAAUUAAAGUUAUGUCAAAUGUACCAAAAUGCCCAUUUAAUCUUGUCCAAUUAAACAUGUCAGGUAGAAAGUUAAAAUUAUACUGUUGCCAAAAAAGGAAAUGGAUCAUUCUUUUUAAAACAAAGUAAAAAAGAAAUAGGAACAUUCAAAUUUUAAACGGAUGAGUAUUUUAUAUUGUAAUGUACUAUUACUAACUAGAAAUAUUCUGUAUAAAAAGAAGUAAAUUUUAGCUAAUCUCAUGUUCUGCUGGAGAGUGAAAUACACUACUGAUGUUAUGUGAGGGUCUUACCAACAUGGAUUGUGGUGCAUUGAUCGGAGUGUUACCUUUAAUUAGAGGUUUCGAGUUCGAGUCUUGUAUAUGAAAACACGUCCUAUUUCCAAACGAAUCCUGCAGUGCGCAAUCCAAAUUUAAUCGGAGCUACAAAGCGGGCUCAAAAUAAUGUUAUAAUUAGAGGGGUUAUAUAUCCUCGCCUUUUAUUACAACUCUUGUUAUGCUUAAGCUUUCAUGAUUUUUAUUCAUGCUAAAGUGAGUUUUUUAUUUCCUUGUUUCCAAGGAUUAGCCAACCUUUGAAAAAUCAAAUUCACACUUAGGGCUUGAAGAAGAGAGAAAAGAAGAAGAUAAGGGAGAAAACUCAAGAAUUCGUCAAGAACAUCAAAAACUUCGAGUGAAUUUCGUCGGGGGUGAUCCCUAUUAAGGUAUGUGUUGUGCUAGACAGUCGUUUACAUGUUAACAAGUGAAGUUCUUGAAGAAAAAUAUUGAAUUCUCUUUGAUUGAAUUAUUGGAUGCCUGUUGUUGUUUGAUUCUAGUUUCUCCGAGUUUUUUUUGAUUGAAUUCAGUGGGUAUUGAGAGUACCAAUAGUCCCAAGUGUUUGGUGAAAUAAUUAAGGAUGUUUGAAGGGUUUAGAGUUGAAAAAAUUGUCAGACGCACAUAGGCAAGGCCAGGCCCGUCGCGCAUACUGUGCACCAGAAACUGGCCUCAGUCACAUGGGGCCUAGCGCGGCGCGUCACCAGUGCGCUAGAACCAAGACUCAAAUAAUAAAGGUUGGCAUGGUGCACCUCGAACACGCCCGAGUCGGCGUUUUUCGCCAAGUUCUCGUUGUUUAGCUUUAAGUCCUUCUAAGGUACAUUAACACCUUCCAAUGAUUCUAAUUACUUCAAAUGAUUUCUAAACACCUAGAAAUCAUUAAAGAACAUCAAUCAUAACCUUGAACCAUAAUCCAAUUCAAGGGAAGUUAAAGAUAAAAGUCAAAGAAGUUAAGAGUCAAGUGUAAAGUUAAGAAGUAAGUCAAAAAAAAGUUCUUAAAGAUUCUCAAGAGUCUUUAUUAAAUGUUUUAACUUCGUUUUAAGGCUCAAGUUCCAAGUUAAAGUAAAGAGUAAAAGUUGAAGUCUUUCUUUCAAGAAAUAUAAGGGAACUAAGUAUUCGCUAAGAGUUGAUUUAAGACUUAAGUUUGUAAGUUAAGCAAAGAGUUAAGAAAUUGAAUUCAUUUAUCAAAAGUUAUAAGGGAACUAGAUAUUCCCUCAAAAGUUUAUAAAUGAUUUCACAUUUAAGUUAAGAGAAAAUCAAGAUAUCCAAAAGAGUUUUGAACAAGAAAAAGGAACAUUGAUUCCAGGAGAGCUUUUUAAAUGUGAAGUAUUAAACAAAUUAUCUCAACCCAAGGAAAGAAAGUUGUUUUUAAAAGUAUGAGCUAAAGUAUAUUUUGGGAUUAGUAUUGAGCACCGAUGUGGGGAUGAGAUUCAUAAAACUCAACUCUCCAUGAAAAUCAUGUAGCUAUCAUGGGUAUUAACGAGUCAUACUUAUUAUAUGAUCACGUAAAUUAAACUAGUAGAUCCACUAAGUUAAGGAGUUCUAUGCAAUGACAAAGUAUAGGACAAUUCUGGCAGUGUGAGCAACUUUGUAUCACCACUUAGACUCAUAGUGGUGGUGUUCGGUUAGAGAAUCUCCCACAAAAACUAUAUUACUUUCAUAUAUAAGUAAAGUUGAGUUUGUUAUUACAUUUACUUUAACGAACUGGGUUGUUUACACUGUUUUACAAGCUUUAUAUAUAUUGCAUGUGUCUCUAUUUUUUAAUAGUAAGUACAAUAGUUCAUGAGUUGAGCAGAGCCAAGGUAAGUGUUUUUUCUUACUCUAUUCAAGCUUAAGUUUUGUUAGCAUUUCAACUUGCAUACUUGUACAUUCAAUGUACUGAUGUUAGUUGGCCUGCAUCGUAUCUUGAUGUAGACACAGGUAACCGAGAUCAACAUCAUCCAGCACCUUGUUGAUCCAACAGAGAACUCGAAGUCAGUGAUGAGUCUCCUUGCAUUCUGGAGGACACAUUUAUAUGUUUUUCAGUCUUUUCUUUAUUUAUAGGAUGUUGUCAGGUCUAUCUCAACAUCCAUCUGAGUAUGAUAGAGGCUUCAUAUAUAGAUAGACAGUCAAACAGUUUAUGUUUUUGGGUCUCUCUUCAAUUGCAUUCAGAUAUUGUAUGUGAGACUUAAUUUGGCCAGAUAUUUAUUUGAAGUUGUUUUUAUGAAAAAUAUAUCUUAUAUUUAGUUAAGUCUUCCGCUGAGUUAAGUAAGUCAGGACAAGGGUCUCCUCAAGGCUAGCAAUGACCAUUAGGUGCGGCCACGUCUAGGGUGUAGGCUCGAGGCGUGACAAAAUUCAUAACUCAAAAACCUUAACCUAAAACAUCAGCACUCGUAAAUCAACAACUAAAGUAACAAAUCGUUAAUUUUUAGAUGUAAAAAGUCAAACAAAUAACCCAAAGACAGAUUCCCGCACAGCCUAACUAACAGAUCAUUAUAUAUAUUGGUAAAAGGGCAAACAAAUGAGUUAGAAAGACAAAUACCCACAAACCCUAACUAACUUAUUGUAAUACAUAUCAGUAAAUAGGAAAACAAAUGAGCCAAAAAUUUGGAGACAAAUCCUAACUUGUAAUCAACAACUAAAUGUUAUAGAAAGACAAAUAAUCAAAUAUGAUUUGUUCGAUUUGAUACUUUGACAAUGUUAUAGAAAGACAAUAAUAAAAAAUCUUACCUUUCGUUGGCGAAAAAAUAAUUUGUUGAGCAAGCUCCCCUAGCAAAUUAGAGAAAAAGUUAAUGGGUAAAUUUGAGAGAAUGGGUAAAAUGGGCAUUGGGUUAAUUGGUAAAUGGAUUAUCCUAGAGGAGUUGGGUCAUUGGGUUAAAAAUAGGGAAUAAGAUUUUUUUUAAAUCGGGUUAUUGGGUCAAUUUUGGUAGGUUUCUGGGAUUCCGUCUAAUGAGGCUAAUUUUGAUGAAAUUAGUAAUGGUAAGGGUAAAUUUAACCUCAUUUUAACGGUGAGGGUAAAAUCAAACAAUAAACCAAAGUUGGGAGUAUUUUUUACCCUUUUCCCAAAAAAAAAACUUCAAAUAAAUGGAGAUGGAUAAAUUAAAAGAGAAAUAAAAGUUAUUUUAAUGUAACAUUUUUUCUAAAAAAAUAAUAUGAAUGGGUUGAGGGGAGCUAGACUUCGUCAACAUGUUGUUUGUUGGCAUUAAUUUUAUCUUGAUAUAUUUCAAUGAUUUGAUAGAUUAUAUGCAUCAAUUUUCUUGUACUUUAGGCUCAAAUGAUUGAUUUAGAAUACUCAAUGACAAUAAAGCUAAGUAUCUUUUAAUAUGUUAUAUGAAUCAAUUUGUAUCUUACACUUUUUUAUGAUCCGAAAAAGAUAUUCUUUUACAAAUGUGAUAAAAUGAAGCAUUGUUAUUGGUGGAUAAUGAACCUUUUUGCAGCAUCCAUACAAAACGCUUUUGCUCCUUCACGAAUUUGUCACUCACCUUUCAUAAUUCUUUCUCCCAAUUUUACAAACUUCUCGACUAUUCUACUUUGUUCACUGUAAUAGUAUCCAUAAACCUCUAAUUUGCCGUUAUAUUACUUAUUCUACCAAAUAAAUUAUAGUGUCAAAAGUUUUGUAAAUUUUGUAGCAACACAAAACUUCAAAUGUUUUUUAAUUUCAUAAUAAUGUGCAUUUUUAGUAUUAAUAUAUGUAUCAAUAUUCACUGUAAGAAUUACUCCUAUCUUUUAUUUGUUAGUAUGAUUUUUUUUAAUACAUAGUUGAAUAAAAAAAAUAUCAAAAUAUGAUUUAAUCUUGUGAUAUUAAACAUGUUACAUGGUAAGUUAAAAAUUAAAAGUUGCAAAAAGGAAGAAGAAAGAGACGUUAUUCUUUUAAUGGAUUACAAGAAAAUAAAACAAAUAAAUUAAAACAGAGAGAAUAAAAAUUAUUAAACCCUAAAAGUAAAAUAUUAAGAUUUUUAAGAAGAAGAAAAGGGGAAAUCCAAAAAAAAAAAAAUAAUAUAUUUUCUUAAACUUUUCGAUAUUAGUUUACAGGUGAAAGGGACAUCCCUUGUUUAAAAAGACAACGUCACUUCUCCAAACUCCAUCAUUAAUAAAUAGUUACAUAUGUUUGGAAAAUACAUUCCACACUAUUUAAUUAUUAUAAUAUUAAAAAUAAUAGUUUAAAAUAAUAUUCUCUUUUUUAUUCUUCAAAAAUGAAUUAAAAAGAUUUGAUACUAUUAUCAGUAAAGUGACAUUUUCUAGAAUGUAUUAAUAAUUUUAAAAUAUAAUAUAAAAUGAUAGAUCUAUAGUUUAAAGCUAAAGGACAAACUUGAAUUUCGAGCUUUAAAAAUGUAGCAAGAAAGCUAAUUAUUGAGGAAAGCAAUGUGAAAUACAAUUGAGAUAGUCGAUGUUCCAUUUUCAAGUAAAUGUAGAAUUUUGACAGAUUAUCUAAUUCUCCCUCCGUUCACUAUUAUUUAUCAUACUUUUUAUUUUUAGAGUUUAAUUACAAUAUAUUUUUUCAUCAUAUUGAUAUGCAAAAAAAUUGCAAUGUAUAGUUUGGUAUAGUUUUUAAAUAUCUAAAUUUUUUGUUUAAAAUAUCGAAUUAAUGUAAUCUAAUUUAACUUUAUAACUUAAUCAAAUUGACUUUAAAAAAGCGCAACAUGACAAAAAAAUAGAAGGAGAGAGCUAAUUACAAACAAUUUUAUUCCGUAUUUUUAUUACUCCCUCCGUUUCAAAAAGAAGACCUAGUUUUACUUGGAACGAAGUUUAAGAAAAGAAAUAAGACUUUUUAAACUUGUGAUUCUAAAUUAAAGUUAUGUCAAAUGUACCAAAAUGCCCUUUAAUCUUGUGGUUUUAAACAUGUCAGGUAGAAAGUUAAAAUUAUACUGUUGCCAAAAAAGGAAAUGGAUCAUUCUUUUUAAAACAAAGUAAAAAAGAAAUAGGAACAUUCUUUUUUAAACGGAUGAGUAUUUUAUAUUGUAAUGUACUAUUACUAACUAGAAAUAUUCUGUAUAAAAAGAAGUAAAUUUUAGCUAAUCUCAUGUUCUGCUGGAGAGUGAAAUACACUACUGAUGUUAUGUGAGGGUCUUACCAACAUGGAUUGUGGUGCAUUGAUCGGAGUGUUACCUUUAAUUAGAGGUUUCGAGUUCGAGUCUUGUAUAUGAAAACACGUCCUCCCCUCCAAACGAAUCCUGCAGUGCGCAAUCCAAAUUUAAUCGGAGCUACAAAGCGGGCUCAAAAUAAUGUUAUAAUUAGAGGGGUUAUAUAUCCUCGCCUUUUAUUACAACUCUUGUUAUGCUUAAGCUUUCAUGAUUUUUAUUCAUGCUAAAGUGAGUUUUUUAUUUCCUUGUUUCCAAGGAUUAGCCAACCUUUCUUCAAGUUAAGCUUGGAAAUGAGCAGUUAGAUCAAUUAACAAAAAUUUGAGAUACUCAACUCUUAUCUAAUAAAUUCUCCUAAGGGAUAAUACAAUGUUCAAAAAUUGAGUGCAGAGCUUAGAUACUUAACCUUUUAAAAUCUUGACACAUUGCACUAACGAGUAAUGGCAGAAGCUAAAUUGCACCUGUGUCAAAUCCUUCUAAAUACACUAUAUUUGGAGGAUCCUACAUGCAUUUGUCGAUAGUUUUGAAGAGUCCGAGCAACAUAAGGCACAAGCACAUGGCCAUAAUGCUCAGAGGCAUUGACAUCACGAAAUUAAGAGAAUACGUCUCCUUAUUGAGGCAUAACAUACAUCAGACAGAACUAGAUGUAUAUAACAUCUUCUUACAGCAGUACAAAAUGUGAGAUAUCAGAGUGGAACUAGAAUUAUCAACAAAUUUUCAUGAGGUAAUAAAAAAUCUCCAACAUGUUAUAUCCCUACUUCAAUGUUGUGUAUCGGCUUCAUACAUCUUUCACUCAUAUAGUAGGCAGUAGGCACAACUAAAAUCAAUCAAUGGCAAUAAUGAGAAAUCCAACAGAUACAUACAUGAGUACUACAGGAUACAGGGCAAGAGCUUUCCUUCUAGGGUUAACAGCUGUACUCAUGAAGGGGUAUGCCGCCCAAGAGCUCCAAGCUAGUGCAACACAUACUACAACUACCUUCAAUAUCACGUUGUCCUUUAGCAUGCAAAUGAAAGCACCAACAUCAAGCGGGAAUAGACAGUAACCCAGCAGACUGAGACUUUGGAAGAAGAUUAUAUGACCGCCCUGCAUGUCAAAAUCAUUAAUCCAUCUGAAGUAGAAGCAGCAUUGUUUACAUAAAUACCGUGACUCCAUAUUCUUCAGAACUGCAAAAAGGAAACAUGCUAUAUCCUAGAUACACAAGACGGCUUAAUAGAGUUCCUUUCAUCAUAAGAGCUGCUGUAAUGGUUUUGCUUUUCGGGACUAGUGCCUAUAGACUGUAUUCCUUGACUAUAUAUGCACUAAUUAGCUGUUCUUUUUCCUAUCCAUUCAAAUCUCAUAUCUCUUUGAAUUUUUAUAAUAUGUCUACUUACUGCUUAAAAAUCAUUAAACAUAUCCAUCAUUAGGGUGUUUUUUAUCUUUGGUUAUUCUCGUUUUACCAAAGAUAGGGUGAGAAAGUGUCAUUACCAGUAACAAUACAUUCAGUGUCAGAAUGACAGCACCGGCAGCCAGCAGAGCAAAUGCAACAGCAAAAACCUCAGACUGGAAGAAAAUAUAAAGAAAUAAGAAAGAAAAAUAAACCCAUUAGUCAGGAGUCCACCUGCAUUAAUGUGAGUCUGUGAAUCAUCUAUACAACCAUAGGCAACUGCAUUAAGUAUUAAAGAACUCGAAAAAUAGAGCAUGGGUGCAUAGACUUGGUGCAUGAACAAGACAAUGUGUUAUGAUUGGGAAAGAUUCAGCCUGACCAGGUUUCAAUAGUCUUCAAAAUGAUCAAGAUUAUUUUUCGUAUUUAAUGUGUCUGCAAAUAACUUAAAGUAUACAACCUCUUCAUGGUUUGUCCUUGGGUCCAUAGGAAGUCAUAUAAGAGACAACUCGUAAUAGAAGCAACAAAAAGGCAAAGUAACUGAAGGUUUGUUUAGACAUGAAGAAGAUUUGUCCACAUUGGGAGGAACAAAAACUGCACAAUUUUGUGUUUAGGACUCGAAGUUUUCUUUAUACCUUCUUCUCUACACCUAGAAAAUGUACAAAGUACAAACUGUUCAGCUUCUUCUAUACCUUCUCUACACCAAAUAUCUUAUUUCUCUGCUUUUAUCAUUUAAUCAAAGCUAUCCAAAGGCCACAAUAAUUCUUGUAACUUCUGCUCUAUGAGCAUCUGCUAUUGGUAGUCAUCUAUUUCUACUCCAGGUUAUUUAAUUGCGCACCAUGAGAUGACUUGUCAAAGUAGCACUAGAGAUUUAGAGUGGUACAAGUGGCUUGUCACGAUUCAAGGCAAGGUCGAGUUCAGUGCACAAAGUAAACGUAUAACUGUUUCUGAUUUGUGUUAUUAUUACUUAGCCAAGCAACUAUAAUCUAGACACCCUAUCAAGUUCAUGGCACAUGUCCACAAAAAGACAUCUAUAUUGAAGAGGAUGUCUAGUUUAAGUUGCUCAGCAGAGAAAGAUUCACCCAUCUUUCUGCCUGAGACAAUCAAUAUGAGUACAGUGUGAUCUAUAGUGGCAAAUAGAAAGCUACAUAGUAGAAGUUGAAAAUUAUUUGGCAAAAAAGAUAGUAGAAGUUGAAAAUCUAGGCAAUUCCAAGGGGUUUCACUUGAGCUGGACUUAGAUGAUGAAACAGCAAGAAAUCAAAGUACUAAAGGUCAGGUAGAAAGUAGAGCCAUCUUUAACGAGACCAGCAAUACAACAAAUGAGAGUUGGUACAUGAGAGGGAAACAACAAGAGUGCACCACUUCUAGGCUAAGGAUGUAAUAAAUAGUCUACACAGCUUGCCCUCGAGACCUCGGUCUAGUGGUAAGAGUGCAACUUCUUUAUCCAAACUAUAGAUCCAAGCACACCAACACUAUAUGUUCGUAUUAUCCCUUCUUUAUUUUGGAUCAUAGAAUCAGAAAUUUUAUAAGUAGUCAAUCAAGGAGAUGCAAAGCUGUAGGGACACAUUAAUCCUAAAGCCGACAAUGUCAAAGUAUGCCUUUACUACUACAUUUCUUAUAAGGGUAAGGCAGGCUUCUAGCAGGACGAGUGAUAUAAGAAGUUAUGUUAUAACGUUUUAAUUUGUUGUUGACAAUUUUGAUGGUCGAUAAGCAAGUAUUUCAACAAUUCCUUUCAGGUUAAUAACUGGUUUGUGCUUCUCCACAUUCAUACCAUCUCUCACUCAUAUGCCUUAGACUCAAUAAUGUCAAACGACUUCCCCACAAAUCUGAAAUAAAUAAAAUUAUCCAUGGCCAUUAAAAGACUUAAAAGAAGGAAAAGGAGAAUAAGAAUAGAUCUCGGCGAUCGAAUAACACCGGAGAAGGUAUCCAGAAGUCUGAGAAGGAUCUUAGGGAACUACCUCAUUAAUCGAGCCUGAGAGCAUAUUAGUACCUAUUUUUUUUCUAAACAGGAAUCUAGGUGUUUCGAAGAUAUUUGUAGUUCCUUAAAAAAACGUAAGAUGAAUUGUAUUCUUAACUUUUGUUAUUGGUGUAAAUUAGAGUAUAUAGAUUAUUUUAUAUCUGUUAUAAACAUCAUAAGGCACUUACUAAGAUGAUAAAGAGCUUAGCUUUGUCUCUUGUUUAUACUUUUGUUUGGAUCCACUGAAGUAAACAUUCAUUUACGUUGCGAACAUUAUUCUAUUUAUGAUUUAUUUAUAGUUUGUGCCAAUAGCCACAGAGAUAUAAACUCUAGGCAUGUUGGACUUCCGUGCACAAACUAAAUAGAACUAUUUCCAUUCAACUGUGUUGUUUUCAUAGUCAUUUUUACACCAAGCCAACUAUACCCUAGCAAGUCUAUGGGACAUAGCCACAAGAAAGCAUCAGAUUUUAAGGGGAAGGAGUAGGGCUGCCAACAUGAUUACAAUGUGAACUGUAAUAAAAAUAGACAGCUAGAUAGCAAAAAUUUGAAAAUUAGGCAAUUCCAAGAGUUGUCUUUUGGGCUGGAUCUAGGUGAGGAGCCGUAAAAGAAAUAAAAUGGUUGAGAUUCAUGGUAAAAUGGAGAGACAAUUUAGAAGUAAGCACAUUAAAGAAGUGGAGAUAGAAGAAAAGAGAACUGGACCGAGGAAGGACAGGCAAGAAACUACAAAUAUAUUUGUUGGUUUUUUUGUAAAAGAAACAACAAUCCCUCAAAUCCCAGAUCAGUUGGGCUGGCUGAAUGAAUCCUCUAAGGUCAAUUCCGAUUCAUUCAGGCUCAUUACAUACCAAUACUGUAUAACAAGAAAGGGAAGAAAAAUGUAGCUUAUGAUUCAUGUCAUACCAUGGUAUCAAAGCAAAACUCAUUGAUCCAUGUUGGUGUGCUUCUCAAUGUUGGAGCCCUAUGUAAUGUCAUACACGUUCCGGUUGUCCAUUCCUCAUCUUACAGGGGAGUGUAAACUAUUAAGUCCUAUAUUAAUUGAGGGAAUAGGGUGUGCUCUCCUUUUAUGAUCAUAGGCAAUCAUCCCUCAUAAGCUAGCUUUUGGGUUGGAUUGGGUGAAGAUCAUAUGGUAUUAAAGCUAGACUCAUCCUCUUUCUUGGUUUACCCAAUACUGGGCCAUCAUGUUAUGUUUUCCAUGCCAUAGAUGUCCAAUCUUAGGCUGGUGAGAGAGUGUUACUAGUGACCUAUUGAUAAUGAAAAUGGGAUUGUUACCUCUUGUAUGGGACAAUCCUUCCCUCAUGAGUUAAUCUGGGGUUGUUUAGGUCCAAAGUCCAUUUCAUAAACAAUUUAUAUAGGGGAGAAAAGUAAUCACAGAUUUCUCAUUUUUCCUUCGAAUAAGUUGUGCAUCUGAUAUUGAAACAAACACCAUAAUCCUUUUGUUUGGUGGUAUGACAAGUUAUCUUUUUGACAUCUGCAAAUUUUGAUCGAGCUGUUUGCCAAUACAUAAAAUUCUUGAUUGUUCAUUUGUUCCCCCGGCACUUGUAAUUUCCAAAGCAUUAUCCUUUCUUUUCAGCUAUUACUUGAUCUAAUUGAGUGCCCCUUGUGGCAGUGUUACUUAGAAUUAUACAUCAAAACUACAAAACAUGCACAAUCACAAAAAGAAAUGCUUCUAAAACAUUUUCAGAACUCAGUACCUUCUAACACAAGACGAAAGUAAAUUAGACUCCACCAAUAGUUUGAACAAUGAAAUAGUAAAUGGGAGUUACCUUCUUAACAGAAGCAGACCAUGACAAAGUGAGACCAAGGAAAACAAUGAAGAAGAAAGGUCCCCAUAGAUCCCAAUCACGAAGAGCUUUGCCAGGAUCUUCUCUAUAAGGAUUAGGGAAAACCACCAGCUUCAAAUUACUAACAAUUCUGGACAGAUCUCUUUUGACGGUAUCCCAAACGGGUUCGGUAAGGGUAUUGGGAGGCGAUCCGAAUCCGGUAGCAGCUAUAUUUGACUGUCCAGAUGAAGGUAGGGGUGGUGGAGAUGGAAUGGCAGGAACAGGUGUCGGUUUGUAAUUGUUGGUUGUGGUAGAUGUAGGGGGAGGUGGUGGGCGUAGAUUGGAAGGCAUGAAAGGAGAAGAUGAAACAGGAAUGGCAGCACGAGGAGGAGAAGGAGGGCGUGCUGGAAGGACAGUAGAAGGAUUGGAAUAGAUGAGGUUUUCAAUUUCAUCAAUGUCAGAUUGAGAUGAGGAGUGAAGAGGUAUAGUGUCUCCAUGUGACAUUUUUUCCGGUAGCUCUCAGAUUUGCAGAGAUGAUCGGAGAUGGAGGACAAGGCGGGGUUGAGUGGGGGGUGGGUGAGUGGGUGGGGUAACUGGUGCUAGAGGAAAUGCGUAUUGUAAAAGAA
rnacentral:lncRNA from 1 species